UGAUUGCAACAUGCACCUUUCGCUGCUAAAUAGGCAUCAAUCCUUUUACAUGUGUGUUGAGUUCCAUCACAAAUUUGCUCCGAGUUUAUACUUUAUACUACCUUGGGCAAAUAUCUCUUCUUAAGAAAUGAACUAGUGUGUGACAUGAACAAUAAUGAGGGUAAUGUUCAAUCUUAUUUAAAGCAAACUAGCACAGUAUUGCGAGGGCAUCACCUCAGUAUGUUGGAAGUGUAUGAGAAGUAAAUAUUUAUGCAAUAUUGCUAGCUUAAUAAACCAGCGGCAGAUCCACGUUUUUAGGCCAAGGUUGGGCAAUAACUAUCUUUUCGUAUGAAUUUUAGGUCAAUCAUGUAUUUUUUUUUACGUUUUGUUUUUCUCUCUGUAAUACAUAUAGACAGUUGGGAGAUCUCAGGGUGCGGUGUGACACAUUCGUCCAACCUUCCUGAGAAACUCUUUUACUAGACAUGCUUUUGGGCGGCAAAUGAUAUAUAUCGCUUGUGCCGAGCAUUAGCUAGGGCUCGCCUGCAGAACACCUAAGAAGGGCCAUGGCCCGAUAUGCCCAUGCGAUGUGCUGGUUACUUUUAGGUUCGUUGAACACUUGGCUCUCUUCUUCGUGUUUCUCCCUGAUUUUUGUUCAUGAUAUUAUCUUUUUUUGUUCAACUGGUUUCUUGUGGGUUUUUUUUUGCAUUUCAUUUUUUCUUGAUUUAUCUUAUUAUCUUUGCCUCUUUGUUUAUUCCCCUCUUUGUUGUUGUUCUUUUUCCACAUUUUUCUCUUUCUUUAUUUUCCGUGAUUUUCUUCUUACUUAUUUUACUUACUUAAUUAGAAAAUAAAUUUACACAUGACUUUUUAAACACACAAUGUACAUAUUAUAAAUAAAUGAUGAAUAUUUUUUAACACUGUGAACUUUAUUUAAUAUAUGAUGAGUACUUUCUUCAAUACACGAUAAAAAAUAAAUUGUAUUUUCAGUUUUACGUCGUAAAUGAUUAUUUUCCAAAAUUAUGUGAAUAUAUUUUGAAAUGAGAGAAUACUUUGAUAAUUACAAGGACAUUUUUUGAAAUACGUGAAUACUCUUUGUAAAUAAAAGAAAUUUAUUUUUUAAUACAAGAUUUUUUUACGAACUAGGUGAAUAUUUUUCUAAAUAGGUAAAUCCUGUUCAAAAGUAGAAGAACAUUUUAUUUAGAAUAUUCAAGCAAUUUUCAAAUGUAUUAGAUAUUUUGAAACGAGUAAGCACCUUCUUAAUACGAAAUAUUUCUGUCAAAAGUGCAAAUAAAAAUUAUUACCUAGAAUAAAAUAGACAUAUUUUUAUAAUAUAAUAAAAUAAUCAUAAGUUGAUAAAAACAACAAAGGCCAGUAAAAAAAUAUAAAGAACAAAUAAAGCAGCAAAAACGCUGCAAAAUCACAAACAAACAAAAGUGUGCCAACCAGGCUAACCCACAGUGGCCGUUGCGGGUAAAAGGUGUGCAUUCGGUGAGGGAAAACGUUUUAAAUAAGUCGGAUGAUUUCUUGUCUUUAUCAACCACGUCCGGAGCAGGGCCGGUCCUGAGAUUUUGGGGGCCCGGGCAGAUAAAAAAUUGAGGCCCAUUAAUAUAAACAGCGUAAUGAUUAAUGGUAUGCGCAUAUAUGAAAUGUAUCCAACAAACACUUGAAUACAUCUAAAAUCAAUAUUUAUAUCAAAUAAUUUAAAUACAUUACCUUAAAUUUUCUUCACUAAAAAGCUUAUGAUGAGGUUGAUGCCAAUCUCAUUCAACAUCUUCUCGAUGCAUAAUGUUGCCAAACUAGUUAACUCCAUUUUCAUGUUCAUUUUUUGCUAGAAGAAGAAGAUGCAAAUUUUUGGGAUUACAUGAUGAACCGCAAUGUUGGAAAUUAAACAAAUAAAUGAUCAAAUGGUGAAUAGUGCAGUCUAUGCAUAAUGUAUGCAAAGAUAAGUUAUUGUAAUUUAUGAGUACAUGUGUAGGGAAUAGGGAACGGUGAUAUGGGAGUACUACCUUAGAUCGACAUCCGGCGUUCGGCGAUGGCAUAUGUACAUAAUGUACUGGCAUCUGGCGGGAGGAGCUUCAUACUUGGCGGCGUGCGUCGAGCACCUAGAGACGGGAUUAUCAAAUAGCAGAAUUACUCGGCGUCUGAACUGGCGGUCUGACUCACAAUCGGUGGCCAGAGGAAUAGGGAUCUAACUCGCGAACUCACGAUCGGAAGGAGAACAUGACAAGGUCGUACAGCUGCUGAUCGGAAAUUCGGAAGGAAACUGCCGAUCGUGAAAUAUCUUGCGACACGCCAUCAUGGACCAGAUAAGAACUCACGAUGGGAAGGUAAAAGUUGACGCCGUAAAACUAGCGAACGGAAGGACGAUUGUGUGCCUACCCUUUUUGCAAGAAAGGUCUGCGUGCGUUCCGUUGUUUUUGAGGGGAGUAUAUGCGUGCGUAGCUACAGAAUUGGCAGCAAUCUGCGUCUCUGGCCAUGGCCCGUGGGCUACGUGCAUACCGGGCGGGGGCCCUGGAUUUCGGCGACUCUGCAUCGCCGUGAGGCUUUUUCCAGGCUACCUACCGCGUCCGAGCUACCUCCCCUCUCCUUGCGCCCGCGCUUGGGCUGACCAAGGGGUCGGCCAGUCCUUCCACCCGGCCUCGGUGCGCUGCGCGGAGUUAGGGUUUCAGGUACUCUCUGAUGGCGGCGGCAGCGCCAUCUAGUGGUGAAGGCAACUCCAGAGCAGGAAGAAGGAACGGCAAGAACACAGUCGAUCUGGAAUUUGCGAUGAGGAAUAUGAAGUUGAAGGAAUCUGAGAUGGAUGAUGUGAUCGUUGGCGAGGAGGAGAUCGCUCAGCUGUCCAAGUCCGCACGUUGGCUUGCUGUGGCACGAGUAAACACGAAGAAGUACUUCAGUACUGAUUCGUUCAAGACAACGAUGAAGUUCGCUUUGUUAGAAGAUAUUGUAUAGAGAUAGGAAGAGCUUUUUUACUGUACCCUAUACUGCUCGGGGCGAGGUGGGCCAGUAUAACUAAAUCUUACCAUUAAUUUCGUGUGGGCAAUAUGGACAAUUUUUCAGUAGGUGAAGGCCUAAACGCGAAUGUUGUUGGGGCAAGAUGCCAGCCUAUUUCGGAGUAAUAGCUGGGACUUGACAUAGCUUCCUCGCUCGGUCGCUCCCAUGGCCGCCAUGCUCUAGCUGACCUUGCUGCCGCCUGCCGUGUACUGCGACCCGACGCGCUAGUCUACCUUGGGGUCAUGUCGCUAUUUCUCGGUGGUAGCAAGACAUGGUGGCCACAGCUCCGUCAGCACCCUCCUCUGUCCUGCCCGGACGGCAUGGCCAGACCACGAACUUCUGUACACGGCAUGCUUCUGCAUCAACGGACAACGACACAAAUUGGUUUGGUUGCCACCGUUGUGAACCAGGACAAAACGAGCCCGGUCUGGGGUAUGCUCGGACAUGGGAGGGGCGCAGGCCAACGCCCAAUGGCCUAUUGGAGAAGAAGAGCACGGUCCGGGCCGAGGCCUACGCCAAGCUGUCGAGUGCUGGAUCCACGCACGGGGAAAGAACAUGAUUCAGGCUUGUCGAGGGAGGGAAGAAAGGAUGGAGAAGAGGACGAUGCACUGCGAUGGCCGCCGGAACUCAAACAGCAUAGGUGGACGAGAACAACGGGCGGGGUGGGUUGGGGACUUGGGGGCCGGCUGAAUUGAAGAAGUCCAAAAAUGUCCUCAGAACAUAUAUACUGUUGGUCGAGAAGGACCGGUGCUACCUACACUGAUCGCCAUGUUGUUGGUCUGCUCGCAGUGGUACAGAUCGGUCAUGGACGAUGUUGGAUUUCACGGAUUAACGGUCCAUAUUCACUACAGGGUACCAUAAAAGAGCUCGAUAGGAAAUAUGUUUAACUUGUAGUAUCUCUUUUUAUCUCUUUUUCUGUUCUAUCUCUUCAAACCUCCUGUAACAAACACGAUCGGUCUCCUCUCGAUCUGUUCUUGUAAGCCACGACAUACAGCAUAUAUAUACAACCACGGCCCGAGCAAAGGGUCAACGCUUCCAUCUACUUUUACAUGGUAACAGAGCAUCUUCCUCGAUAGAUUGGAUAGAGAUCGCAUCUAGCUACCUAGGCAACCGCAGCUAUGUCCACCACCUCCGCCGCCAUGACGCCGAGCACCAUGGGUGCCCUCACCACCGACUCCUCCUCCUCCACUUUUGCAUCAUCAUCCACCUCCAUCUCCACCAACUCCUUCCUUGGAUCGCCGCUGCAAGAGAAGCUGACGAGAGGCAACUUCCUUCUCUGGAAGGCCGUCGUCCUACCCCAGAUCAAGGGCGCGCAGAUGGAGCACCAUCUUGACGGGAAGAGUCCGGCGCCGCCGCCCACCCUCACCAUUACGAAGGACGGCAAAGAAGAACAGGUGGUGAACUUUGCAAGAUCCCUCUAGUACACACAACAGCAACAACUCCAAGGUUACUUGAUGGGCUCUCUCUCCCGCGACAUCCUUGCACGGGUGGCCACGCUCCAGACGCCGGCGGAAGUCUGGCACGCCAUCCACGACAUGUUUGCCGUCCAGAGUCAAGCCUAAGCAAUCGAUACUCGCAUCGAGCUUACGCACCUUCAAAAAGGUAACAUGACUAUGGCAGAAUAUCUUGACAAGAUUAAGAGCCUCGCCGAUGAAGUUGCAUGCACUGCCGCUGCGCUCUCUGAUCUGGAGAUCGUGUCCAAGAUCUUGGCCAGACUGGACAUGGAUUAUCAUCCAGUUGUCUCGGCCCUUACCGCUUGGGUGGAGCCGAUCACUGUCCAGGAGCUGCAUAGUCAGCUCCUGAGCUUCGACGUCCACCUUAGUCUUCUUGAUGGCGCCGCUUUUCGCCAAUCCUCCGCCAACGCCGUCUCGCAUGGACGCAACCGUGGGCACGGUCACCACGCGCAACGCGGCGGCGGGCGUGGGCGCGGCAACUCCCAGGGCGACAACGGCUACAACAACAACUACGGCAACACAGGAGGCGGCAGCUACAACAACUCCGGCAACAGAACUAGGGGUGGUGGCUUCAACAACAACACUAGCCGCCGCCCGUCCUCCUCCUCCUCCCGUGGUCGUCCUUGCCGCCAACUCUGCAAGAAGGUCGGCCAUGUGGUUAUGGACUGCUGGCACCGCUAUGAUGAAGACUACGUUCCAGAUUCUCGCCAUGUUGCUGCAGCCAUGCGUGAGCAAGGAGGAGAUGGAGUGUGGUAUGCUGAUUCUGGUGCCACGGAUCAUGUCACAAGUGAGCUAGAGCAGCUUGCUCCCAUGAAAAAUACCACGGCAAUGAUCAGAUUCACACCGCAAGCGGUGGAGGUAUGGAUAUUCGACACAUUGGUCAAUCUUUUAUUAAUUCCCCUAUGCUUAAACGUGAUCUAGUCCUAAAAGAUGUCCUUCAUGUUCCUCAAGUCGACAAAAACCUUGCCUCUAUGUCUCGUUUAGCCACUGAUAAUAAUGUCUUCUUUGAAACUCACCCUCGUUGCUUUUUUAUAAAGGAUCGGGCAACGAGGGAACUUCUACACCACGGUAGAUGCAUUGGAGGCCUCUACCCCAUCACAUCCGGAGCACUUAGUAGCAAGCAUCGUCAGGUCUACUCCGUCAUCAAGCCCUCUUUGGCAAGGUGGCAUCAAUGUUUAGGACAUCCUCUUUGGUCAUAGUUAAGCAAGUAGUCAAUAAAGGCAAUCUUUCUUUGUCACAAAGUCCUAUUAGUGAUUCGGUUUGUGAAGCUUGUCAAUGUGCCAAGAGUCACCAACUUCCCUAUCCUAAGUCUAGUAGUGUUUCUCACGCUCCUUUAGAGCUUAUUUUCAGUGAUGUAUGGGGACAUGUCAGAGAUUCUUUUGGAAGAAAAAAAUAUUAUGUCAGUUUUAUCGAUGAUUAUAGCAAGUUUACUUGGAUUUAUUUACUCAAGUAUAAAUCUGAAGUCUUUUCUAUAUUCCAAGAGUUACAAAAACUUGUUGAAAGGCACUUCGACAGAAAAAUCUUGACAGUCCAAAGUGACUGGGGAGGGGAGUAUGAGAAGCUCAACUCCUUCUUUCGUAGCAUAGGCAUUGCACACCAUGUGUCUUGUCCCCAUGCUCAUCAACAGAAUGGCUCUGUCGAGCGUAAACAUCGCCAAUUGUUGAAGUUGGCCUGUCUUUACUUGCUCAUGCCUCCAUGCCUCUUAAAUAUUGGGACGAAGCCUUCAUCACUGCCACAUACCUUAUUAAUCGUUUGACCAGCAGAGUCAUUGGCAAUUCUACUCCUUUGGAACGUCUUUAUCAUCAAAAACCAGAUUACAACUCUCUCAAAACUUUUGGGUGUGCAUCCUAUCCCAAUCUUCGUCCAUACAAUCAUCAUAAGCUUGAGUUUCGUUCUACUCAAUGUGUUUUUCUUGGCUAUAGUAAUCUUCACAAAGGCUACAAGUGCCUAGAAAUUGCUGUUAGACGUAUUUAUAUUUCCAGAGAUGUUGUUUUUGAUGAAAAUCUUUUUCCGUUUGCCAAGCUUCAUCCAAAUGCAGGCUCUCUUCUCCGUGCUGAAAUAGCCCUUCUUCCUGGUCACGGGGGUGAAUUAACUAAAGCUGACCAUGUGAAAAAUUCCACAGAAACUUGUAUUUCUGCAUAUUCUGGCCGUCAUUUUAUGUGUGCAGGUCCGGACGAAAUAGGCGCAGGAUCCAACACUGAUUCGGCUAGCAGCGGCGCUGGAUCCCAUGUUGAUCCCUGCGUCAGAGCCACUGUCCCUGAUGGCGUGCGAUCCUAGGAGGAUUGCUCACCCCUGCAGGCAUCUCCUCACGCGCGAGCCGACCGGGUGGACCCCACCUGUCCCGAUGCGCGGUUGACUGAGGCCACAAGCCCAGGCGAGGGCGCAAGUGCGCGCGUGGCCGAUAGCCCCCACCGGGUGGAGCCCACCAGCUCAGGCGCGGGCGGGACCUUAUCACCACGCGCCACUUGUUCGCGGGAUGACGAGGCGCGGGACGACGCGGCGACUGAUGCGGCUAGCGACAGGGAGCCACCUGCGCCGGCAGGAUCAGUAGCAGGUGCAUAAUCGCCUUUGGAGCCGGUGCCUGGAUCUUCUGUGGAACUCUGCGUCUCCGAGUGCUUCUGGAUCUUUUGUGCCCACAUCAGCAGCUCUUUCUCAGGCUCCUCAUCGACACACCCGAUCACAGUCAUGUAUCAUCAAAAGUGUUACGACAUAUCUCUCUCAAGGUAGUUUUGGUGAUUGAUGACAACAUGUUUGCGGACUAAUCUUGUGCUUUGAAUAAUUCACAGAUUCUCCCCUGGCACCAGACGUUUUCUUCCCCUCGGAGUGUAUUUCAAGACGGUGUAGCUCUUUCGUUUCUUUCUCGGUGGACUAGUUGCGUAGAGGGCACCGUACUAUCAAGAGGGGGUCCGCUGGGGUAUUGCAUGGGUGGAAUCAACACGUACACAUCAGCUUCUCACCCUUCGAGCUUUUCCAUUCCAUUGUAGAGAUCUCUACUCUCUUCCUUGUCCUGUCUGGGUCCAAGCGGUAGUACCGCGCAACCCAGCGGUAGUACCGCUGAGGAGCCACAAGAGGCAGUACCGCUCCACAGCGGUAGUACCGCCCGUGGCUCCACAGUAGUAGUACCGCUGGGGUGGCUGGCACCUCCGCCUCAUCCUUAGCCUCUUUGGAGAGAUUCUCUCUCUCUCUCUUCUGUGCCCCAGCGGUAGUACCGCACUACCAGCUGUAGUACGAUCGAAGGGUCACAAGCAGCAGUACCGCUCCAUGGCGGUAGUACCGCCCAUGACCCCACUAUCGUAGUAUCGCUGGGCUGUGUGGCUCCUACCGCCUCGACUCGAGGGGUCUUUUUCUCGUGUCAGAUUUUGCGGCACUAGUUGCGGUUGUAGAGGCGGUAGUACCGUUCCAGGAGCGGUAGUACUGCCCCUACCACCGCGGUAGUAUCGCGUUGGGUCUUAUUCCCUACUAGUCUCCUCUGCGCGGUAGUGCCGCUGGCUGGCGCGGCAGUACCGCUGACCUAGCGGUAGUACCGCCCUGUGCGGGGCUGGUUGGUGAGGGGCAACGGUUGGAUUGUUGCCCCCACUAUAAAAGGGAGUCCCCUUCUUCUCUUUGACCUACCUCUUCCUCCCCCAAGCUCCAUUUAUUUCUCAAGCUCCAUUAAAUGCUCCAAGCUCCAUUUUCGCCCGAUCUAUCUCUCUAGCCAAUCAAACUUGUUGAUUUGCUCGGGAGUGGUUGAGAAGGCCCCGAUCUACACUUCCACCAAGGGAUUUUCGAUUCCCCCACUCAUCCCUAGCGGAUCUUGUUACUCUUGGGUGUUUGAGCACCCUAGACGGUUGAGGUCACCACGGAGCCAUAGUCCAUUGUGGUGAAGCUUCGUGGUUUUGUUGGGAGCCUCCGAUUAAGUUGUGGAGAUUGCCCCAACCUUGUUUGUAAAGGUUCGGUCGCCGCCUUCAAGGGCACCAAUAGUGGAAUCAUGGCAUCUCGCAUUGUGUGAGGGCGUGAGGAGAAUACGGUGGCCCUAGUGGCUUCUUAGGGAGCAUCGUGCCUCCACACCGCUUCAACGGAGACGUACUUCCCUUCAAAGGGAAGGAACUUCGGUAACACAUCCUCGUCUUCAUCGGAUCCACUCUUGGUUAUCUCUUACCUUUACUUGUGCAAGCUCUUUAGUGUUACCUCUCUUGCUUGCUUGUUUGCUUGUUGGUAUUGCAUCAUAUAGGUUGCUCACCUAGUUGCACAUCUAGACAACCUACUUUGAUGCAAAGUUUAAUUUGAUAAAGAAAAGUUAAAAAUUGGUAGUUGCCUAUUCAUCCCCCUCUAGUCAACCAUAUCGAUCCUUUCAAUUGGUAUCAGAGCCUCGUCUCUUUAUUAAGGACUUUACCGUCCAAAGAGUAUGGUUGAUACCGUAGACGGUGUGGAGGAACACUCUGGUGUGAAUCCGAUCUCGUCCACGGGCGAUGGGGGAACCUCGGUCUCUCGUGAGGAAUUCAAUGUGGCCUUAGAGACAUUGAAGACCUCCAUGACGACCGAGGUUGAAAGCAUGUUUACUAAAUUUCUUGAGGGGCUUAAACUUUCCACCGCACCGUUGAAAGUGGGUGAUCCCACCAACAAGGUGACGGAUGUUAUCCCCGACAAGGGGGAAGCUAGUAGUGAAAAGGCUCCAUCCUCUAGUGGUAAAAAUGGCACCAACAUCUUUGCUCAUGUGGAACCACCACUUGUUUAUGGUGGACCGGUUCCUUCUACUCAUUUGAAUCAUGCCAGUCCUCCCCCUAAGAUUGUAAAAAAUGAGGACUUUGAUUCUUGGGUUUACCACUUUAAACGUCAUUUAAAUCAUGUGAACACUAACCUUUGGAGAAUCAUUGAAGAAGGUUUUUAUCCGCAUGAUCCAAGCAACUUCACUCCUCGAGAAGCCGCGGAUAAUCAAUUCAAUGAGAAUGCUCUCUUCAUCAUUCAAGAUGCAAUUCCACCCGAAGACCUACCUCACCAUCGUCCCUUCGCCUUGGCCAAAGAUGCAUGGCAUUGUGUUGUCUCUCUCUACCGGGGAAGCGCAAGCAUUUAACGCUCCAACUAUGAAGUGGUGCAAGAUGAGGCCGAUGAGUUUUCUAUGAAAGAAGAUGAAGAACCUCGUUAGCUUUAUCGGAGAGUAACCAAACUCGCGGUCUCACUACGAGAUCACGGGAGCAAGGACACGGAUGACAAUUGGAUCAAGCGCAAAUUCCUCAAGGCAAUGAUGCCCUACCACAAGGCCAUGUCCUCCAUCAUUCGUCAAAGACCGGACUUCCACACUUUGACCUCAAGCGAAGUGUUGGAUGAGUUUGUGGCCAUGAACAUUUUGGACAAGACCGCCGACAAUGCGGUGCUCCAUUCUCAACGGGCAAAGAAGCCUAACCUUGCAUUGAAGGCCAAGCUCGCCAUUAAAGAAGAAGAAGAGGAAGAAGAGGAGAGCAACCCCGAAGAUACGAAGUAUGCAUAUCAUGAACACAUGGCACUUGCUUCAAGGCAAUUUUGGAGCAAGAAAAACUCGAGGCCAAACUUUAGCAAAAACAACUCGAGUGGCACGAGGGGCAAGCAACGUGUAAGGACUUGCUACAAUUGCGGCAACGUGAGUCAUUUUGUUGCGGAAUGCCCAUAUGAGAAGAGGAAAGAAAAUGGUGGCAAGCUCAUCCGAAAGGACAAGGCCAAGUCGUUCCCCAACAAGAACAACUUCACCAAGAAGACUCCUCCCAAGGCAUUGGUUGUACAAGAAGAUCAAUGAGGAUGAUGACGAUGAUGAAGAUGAUGAGUCGGUUGCCAUGGCCUCCGUUGCCAUUGCGACGACUUCACGGGUGUCUCUCUUCGACUCACCCAAUGAGAGCAUCACCGCCAAGUGCCUCAUGUCUAAAGCCACCAACAAGGUAACCCCCAAUAUCAAAACUACCUUCAUUAAUCAUCUUUCUCCGACGGAUAGCAUUAAUGAACUUGAGGGAGCUAAUGUGGAGGCUAACGAGUUUGAGGCCUUUAUGGGAAAACUCAAGGGAAAAUCCAAGAAGCACUUUUUUGCUCUCUUGGAACAACUUGGUGAAGCCAAUGACAUGAUCGAGGCUCACGAAGACACCAUCACUAAGAUGGAAGGGCAUAGUCGUGACUAUGCCGAUGAGAUUUCAGAUCUUUCCAAUGCUCUUGAGGAAGAGCGUGGUCUUUGUUUGGCUCUUGAGGAGUCACACAAUGUUGAUCAUGCUAAGUUAAAGAAAGAUUAUGAUCAUGUCCUCAUAGUUUCUCAUGUGCUAAACUCCGAGAAGGCCGAACUUGAGGUUGAUCUUGCUAGACUCAAAGAGGAGUUUGAUCUACUUGACAAGGCUCACAAGGUCUUGAAGGGUGCUCAUGCUAGCCUCAAAGAGUCUCAUGAUCAACUUCAAGUAAAGCUAACCAAGGAAAAAGCCACUUUCCCUCGUAUGAUGUUAAUUGAUAAUGCAAAUGCUACUAACCCGUGUUGUGAGCAUCUGCAUCUCGUUGAGGAGAACGCUAAGCUAAAGGGGCAACUUGAGAGAGGUCUUGCGACUUGCAUACAAGGCAAGAAGAACCUCAACGAUCUCUUGAUCAACCAAAAGGGAGUUGUGGCCAAGGAAGGGGUUGGGUACGUGCCCGACUCCAAGAACAAGAAGAAGAAUGACAAGACCAAACGACCUCCUCCUCUCAUGCAAACCUUUGUGAAGGAGGGAGAGAGUGCCUCCGAGGAUAAGAAGAACAACAAUGUCAAGAAGGGCAAUGUCACCCCUCCCAACAAAGCCGGCGAUUUUAAUCCUUCUUAUGUGUUAUGCCGUGCUAGUGAUGGGCAUGUUUAUGCCAAAUUUGUUGGUUCUCCUCAUGAAUACAUUGAGUGGUCUAUUUGGGUUCCAAAAACCCUUGUUACUAACAUCAAAGGACCCAUUACAAAAUGGGUACCUAAAACCAAGCAUUGAUCUCUUGUAGGUGUUUGCUUCCGGUGGGGGAUCAUGGUUGCUCGAUAGCGGAGCUACAAAUCAUAUGACCGGAAGCAAGGACUUGGUGGUGGACGUGCACAAGGUUCCAUCUAUGCCCACCAAUGUCGAGUGGGGUGACGCCUCAUCUUCUAAGGUAUUGGGACUUGGCAAGGUGGUCAUCUCUCAUGAUCUCACGAUCGAGAAGGUCAUGCUUGUUGAGUCCCUUGCAUACAAUUUACUUUCCGUUCGUCAACUUGCAAUCAUGGGCUUUGCCACUUUCUUUGAUAUCGAUACCGUGGCCCUCUUGUGGAUCAAGACUCUUAAAGUAGCUUUUGUUGGGCAUGUCGAGAACGGACUAUAUGUGAUUAACUUUUCGGAGUGACCCACUAAGACCGCGACAUGCCUAAUGGCUAAAGUUGAUGUGGGAUGGCUUUGGCAUCGCCGUUUAGCCCAUGUCAAUAUGAGAUCUUUGCAAAGUCUCCUCAAGGGGGACCAUGUCCAUGGACUAACGAAUGUUAGUUUUGCUAAAGAUCGUGCUUGCAGUGCCUGUAUCGAAGGAAAGCUACAUGAGAAGGCUCACCCUCCCACGACUAUCAUUUAUUCAAAGAGGCCUUUGGAGCUCCUUCACAUGGAUCUCUUUGGGCCUCCAUCCUUCGAUAGUCUUGGAGGUAGGAAGUAUUGCUUGGUGAUUGUGGAUGACUACUCAAGGUACACGUGGAUGUAUUUCUUCAAGAGGAAGAGCGAGACCCAACAAACCGUCAUUGACUUUGCAAAUGAAGCACAACGUCAACACAAUGCAAAGAUCUUGACAAUAAGAAGUGACAACGGCACCGAGUUCAAGAACAACACCUUGGAUGAGUUUCUUAGUGAUGAGGGAAUCAAGCAUCAAUAUUCCACACCCUACACCCCUCAACAAAACGGUGUUGCAGAGAGGAAGAACCGGACGUUGAUGGAUGCGGCAAGGACCAUGAUGGCGGAGUUCAAGUCUCCGUACAACUUUUGGGCCGAAGCCAUCAACACCGCGUGUCAUGCAUCCAAUCGGCUCUACCUCCGCAAGGUCUUGAACAAGACUCCAUACGAGAUACUCACCGGUAACAAGCCCAACCUCAAGUACUUCUGGGUAUUCGGGUGUAAGUGUUUCAUUCUCAAGAAAGGUGCUCGGUUGUCUAAAUUUGAGGCUAGAGCUUAUGAGGGCAUAUUUGUUGGCUAUGCUACAAACUCUCGUGCUUACCAUGUCCUCAAUAAAUCCACGGGACUUAUUGAGGAGACGUGUAACAUGGAGUUUGAUGAAAAUAACGGCUCCCAAUUGGAGAAAAGUGGCACUUGUGAUGUAGGUGAUGAAAUUCCUCCCCAAGCCAUAAGAAGAAUGGGUGUUGGCUUUAUCCUACCCAUUGAGGAACCCCUUUUGGCCGAAGGAGAAGGACAAAGCUCCACUCAAGUGGAGCCAUCACCAACCCAAGGCCCACACGCUUCCGAAGUUCAACAUGAAGGCCCUCAUCUUCAAGAACAUGACCAAGGGCAAGAUCACGCUCAAGACGGUGUUGACACAUCAAGUGAUGCCCAAGGUCAAGCUCUCUCCUCCGAGCAAGUUCAAGAACAAGAACAAGCCCAAUACGACGCUCAAGAUGAUCAAGUGACCACUCCUCAUCUCACCCCCGAGGAGGAAUUAGAGCGUCGUGCCGCCAAGGUUGCUUCCAAGCUCUCCACCAAGGAUCAUCUCAUGACGAAUGUGCUUGGAAGCUUAAGAAAGGGGGUAAGCACUCGUAGACAAUUAGAAAAUUAUUGUGAGCAUCACGCGUUUGUCUCUUGUGUGGAACCCCACAAGGUCUAUGAAGCGCUAGAAGAUCCGGAUUGGCUCAAUGCCAUGUAUGAAGAACUCAACAACUUCGAGCGCAACAAAGUGUGGAUAUUGGUGCCAAGACCAACUGGGAAUCACAAUGUCAUAGGAACCAAGUGGAUAUUUAAGAACAAGAAAGAUGCCCAUGGGAUUAUCAUUCGCAACAAGACUCGUUUGGUAGCACAAGGCUACUCCCAAGUCGAGGGUAUCGACUACGGUGAAACCUUUGCUCCCGUUGCUCAUCUUGAAUCCAUUCGCAUGUUGAUUGCAUAUGCUUCUCAUCAUAACUUUAAUUUACAACAAAUGAUUGUGAAGAGUGCUUUUCUUAAUGGUCCUAUUAAUGAAUUGGUUUACGUCAAGCAACCCCCCGGGUUUGAGGAUCCCUACUUUCCCGAUCAUGUGUAUCAACUCGAUAAGGCACUCUAUGGCCUUAAACAAGCCCCACGUGCGUGGUAUGACCACCUUACCGAGUUGUUACAAGACCGUGGUUUUAAAGUUGGGCUAAUCGACCCCACUCUUUUUACUAAGAAGGUCAAAGGGGAGUUGUUUGUGUGCCAAUUAUAUGUUGAUGAUAUUAUCUUUGGUUCUCCUAACAAAGCUUUCAAUGAGGAAUUUGCCGCUCUCAUGACCUCAAAGUUCGAGAUGUCCUCCAUGGGAGAGUUGAAGUUCUUUCUAGGGUUCGAAGAAAAGCAAAGAAGAGAAGGAACCUUCAUCAAUCAAUCCAAAUACACUCAAGACAUGCUCAAGAGAUUCAAGCUAAGUGAUGUCAAGCCGGCUUCCACUCCAAUGCCCACCAAGUGCCAACUUGACUUAGAUCCCAAUGGUAAAGUGGUGGAUCAAAAGGUAUAUCGUUCCAUGAUUGGAUCCUUGCUUUACCUUUGUGCAUCUAGACCGGACAUCAUGUUGAGUGUGGGAAUUUGUGCACGGUUUCAAGCCGCACCUAAGGAAAGUCACUAUGUGGCGGUCAAACGAAUCUUUCGAUAUUUGGCUCAUACCACAAACUUUGGCUUAUGGUACCCAAGAGGAUAAAACUUCAAACUUGUAGGGUACUCGGAUUCCGAUUGGGCAGGAGACAAAGUGGAUACGAAGUCCACUUCCGGAGGGUGCCAAUUCCUUGGUUGCUCUUUGGUAAGUUGGUCUUCCAAAAAGCAAAGUUGCGUGUCUCUCUCGUCCACUGAGGUGGAGUAUGUUGCCGCCGGUAGUUGUUGUGCACAACUCCUAUGGAUGAGGCAAACUUUAAAGGAUUACGGUGUCACUUGUGACAAAGUGCCUCUUUGGUGUGACAAUGAAAGUGCCAUCAAGAUCUCUCUCAACCCGGUGCAACACUUCAAGAUGAAGCAUAUUGAGAUUCGGUAUCACUUCAUCCGGGAUCACAUUAGGCGAGGAGAGAUCAAGCUCAACUAUGUCAACACUCAUGACAACCUUACAGAUAUUUUCACGAAGCCCUUGGAUGAAGCAAGAUUUCGCGAGUUAAGGCAUGAGCUAAAUAUCAUUGAUUCGAGCAAUGUGGCUUGAACCCUUGCACACCCCACCACGCUCAAUUUGUUGUCUAGUUUAGGUGUAGGCAUGGACAUAGGGGGAGUGUUGUUCUCUCAAUGAACUCUCCCUCCCCCCAUUAUGCAUAAAUUGAUCAAGUCUUUCACUCUAGCCAUUGUUGAUGGUACUUGUGUUUCAAAGACGAGUUUUGGUCAUGGGCCCAAGGUUAAAAUCUUCGCGGCGCCAUACCUCUUGACUCAAACAUAGGUGGCCUCGGCCACCGCCCUCUUUUGAAGAGGUGUGUCUUGGUCGUUUGCUCGUGUGCUCUCUUUUCUUGCCGUUUGUGUCUUUCCUUCGAGCAAAAGCCUUGUUUGUUUGGUUGCCGUGGCAUGCUGGGCGGUACUACCGCUGGUGGUGCGCGGUACUACCGCUCAUAAGCGGUACUACCGCCCCCCAGCAUGGUACUACCGCUGAGGGACGGGACCAGGGGGUUAUAUCGGGGCAGGGGGAGGUUUCUUCUCCCCCAUACCCAUUCGCCCCCUCUUUCUUCUUCCUCUCUACAGCCUCCACUCGCCGCGGGAGGGCUCCGGUGGAUCCCCGUCUCCGGGGCGUCCCUCUCCAUUUCCUUUGGUGGAGUCGAUCCCCACCCCGUUCUCUUGCCAUGGAUGCCGGUAUUGCCCCCAUUCCUUCUUUCCUUUUGUCUCAUUUUCAGAUCUUGUUUCUUAGGGGCAAUGGUGGUUGCAUCUCUAGAUUUUUGGCUAAAUCUAGGCUUGAGUUGGUUGGAGAAGGCAACUAGACUAUCUCGAUUAGAGUUUGGUAGGAAUAUUUUUGAAUUUGGCAGGCCGGUAGUGCUGGAUCUGACCAUGGUAGUAGGAAACCGCUGUUUCUCUGCCUCGUGCUGUAGGAAACUGCUGUUUCUCCGCCUCGAGCAGUACUACCGCUUUCGUUGGAGCGGUACUACCGCUUGGGCUCGAGCAGUACUACCGCUCUCGUUGGAGCGGUACUACCGCUUGACCUCGAGCGGUAAUACCGCUCUCUUUGGGGUGGUACUACCGCGGGCAUGUCACGGUACUACCGCUGCAUGCCAAAUUCCAUCAAAUUCCUACCUUACCUUGAUUAUUUUUGUUGUGUUUAUUGGCUUAUGCUCGUUCUUUCUAGUUGUUUUGCGUGUUCUUGUGUUUGGCUCCAGGUGAUGACCCUUCUGAGCAUCAAGCUCGCCGUAUCAACCCCGGGCGUGCAACAUCAAAACGCUACCGCACCUCUGAGCUAGCCGGUGGUUCCUCGAGCACCCAACCACCUCCAGGAAGCGCUUCUGCAAGUGUUCCUCCACCUCCUCAGCAAACGAAGAGAUUCGCCAACAAGCCAAAAGGGAAGACUGUGACUGAGAUGACCAACAAGGAGUUUUGGGAGAAGCGUCGCCGCAACCCCUAUGCGGUGGACCAAGAACCCACUUUGGUCAACCGCCCGUUCUGGAACCGUUUUCAGUUUGCCAUCUACUUUGAUGUGAUCAAGGCCAAGAAGAAUCUCUUUGUUGAUGUUCGCUCCAUUGACACUGAUGCUAUGGAGAAGGACCCGGAGUACUUUGGCGAAGCCCUUCAGAUGUGCACUCAGCUGAACAUUCUCAGGAUCAUGCAAUUCAACAAGGAUUUUGAUGCGGAUUUGGUGGCUCAAUUCUAUGCCACCGUCCAUCUUGGGACGGAUAUUGACAGGACUCUGACAUGGAUGACCAAUGGCAAGCUGCUUUCUGUCAAGUGGAAGGCUUUCAUGGAGUUACUUGAUGUGGUGGAUCACGGACUUGAGACUUCUGUCGGUUUCCGCCCUCACCGCAAUGCUACGUCCACCCACAAGCAAGCCCUUUGGCCCUACUGCACUGUGAAAGUUUACCCAGUAACUGAGAAGAAGACCUAUGAGCUGUCUCCGUAUCUGGACAUUCUUCAUCACAUCUUCCGUGAGACUCUCUUCACUCGGAUCGGGAAUCUGGAUAUGGUCCACUCUUACCUCGUGGACAUGCUCCUUUUCUGUCAGCAUGAGAAGGAAGCAAGCACUGGAGAGAGCCUGGAUAUUUCUCAUGUCAUGUGGUCUGAACUUCUCUCUACCGUGUCUAAGCGCAAGUGCCCAAUAUAUGGUCCAUUCAUCAUGAGGCUCAUUGAGAGGGCCUGGGCACAGACCUAUCCCAGAGUGUUGCUAGAGACUGGAGACUUGGUUUCUCAUGAGAUCAAGCGUCUGAGGAAGAAGGACAAUUGGGUCACCCCAGCGCCUCAAACAGGGGGUCCGUCUGCUGCUGCUGCUACUGCUGCCAUGGAGACCGAGGGUGGGGCAGCCACUGAUGAUCACGAGGAGGAUAUUGGCCCCUCUAGUGCUGAACCCUCGUGGGCGAAGAAGCUUAAAAACAAAUUGAAGAAGCUUUUCUGCAUGGAGUCUCAUGGUCAGUACAUGACUCAUGUGGUGGAGAAGCAUGCCAGGAUGCGCCACAAGGAGCUCAUGCGUCAGUUGGGAGCGGCAGUUGCCAGUGGUUCUGAGGGUCAGAUCACUGAAGAGGAGGAGUGGAUUCAUCAGCACUGCCCUUGGACCGACUCCGACGCCGAGCAGUUUUCGACCAACGACGGAGAUGCAGACGAUCACGCUGAGAUUUGAUGUUUCGAGAUCCUCAGCUUGCCAUCACCUGGAGUUGUAGCGUCGCUCUUUUCCCUUUUUGGUGUCUCGCUGCCAAAGGGGGAGAGAGUGUAGGGAUUUGUGUCGUGCUUUGUGUUUGUCGUCUUGUGUUUUCUCUCGGUGUCUUUGUUUGGUUUGGUUUGGUGCCCGUGAGACCUAAGUUCUAGACAUAUGGUGUGAGACAUAUGCUCCCUAUCGCUACCUUAUUACUUAUGUCUAUUCAGUACUAUAGUUUAUUAUGAGUUGCAUGCUUGUCCUGUUAUAUUCUCUUCUCUCAUAUAUCUUGUGCUUAGAAUUGUGCUUAGAAUUGUUGGACUAUAAAAUAUAGGGGGAGUGUUGAUCCGAGUGUGUGUGUCUUGCUCCGAAUGCUCCACUAUCUAGGUGCACACAUUCUGGGGGAGCCCGUCUAUAUUUUGUAGUUCAGAGUUUUCUUCUUUUAUUACUUUUCCUUGCGCAAAUCCCUAGUUGUCAUCAAUCCACCAAAAAGGGGGAGAUUGUUACGGCAUAUCUCUCUCAAGGUAGUUUUGGUGAUUGAUGACAACAUGUUUGCGGACUAAUCUUGUGCUUUGAAUAAUUCACAGAUUCUCCCCUGGCACGAGACGUUUUCUUCCGCUCGGAGUGUAUUUCAAGACGGUGUAGCUCUUUCGUUUCUUUCUCGGUGGACUAGUUGCGUAGAGGGCACCAUACUAUCAAGAGGGGGUCCGCUGGGGUAUUGCAUGGGUGGAAUCAACAUGUACACAUCAGCUUCUCACCCUCCGAGCUUUUCCAUUCCAUUGUAGAGAUCUCUACUCUCUUCCUUGUCCUGUCUGGGUCCAAGUGGUAGUACCGCGCAACCCAGCGGUAGUACUGCUGAGGAGCCACACGCAGCAGUAUCGCUCCACAGCGGUAGUACCGCCCGUGGCCCCACAGCAGUAGUACCGCUGGGGUGGCUGGCACCUCCGCCUCGUCCUCAGCCUCUUUGGAGAGAUUCUCUCUCUCUUCUAUGCCCCAGCGGUAGUACCGCACUACCAGCGGUAGUAUGGCCGAAGGGUCACAAGCGGCAGUACCGCUCCACGGCGGUAGUACCGCCCGUGACCCCGCUGCCGUAGUACCGCUGGGCUGUGUGGCUCCUACCGCCGCGACUCGAGGGGUCUUUUUCUCAUGUCGGGUUUUGCGACACUAGUUGCGGUUGUAGAGGCGGUAGUACCGUUCCAGGAGCGGUAGUACCGCCCCUACCACCGCGGUAGGUCCUAUUCCCUACUAGUCUCCUCUGUGUGGCAGUGCCGCUGGCUGGCGCGGCAGUACCGCUGACCUGGCGGUAGUACCGCCCCCUCUCAGCGGUAGUACUGCCCUGUGCGGGGCUGGUUGGUGAGGGACAACGGUUGGAUUGUUGCCCCCACUAUAAAAGGGAGUCCCCUUCUUCUCUUUGACCUACCUCUUCCUCCCCCAAGCUCCAUUUAUUGCUCAAGCUCCAUUAAAUGUUGCAAGCUCCAUUUUCGCCCGAUCUAUCUCUCUAGCCAAUCAAACUUGUUGAUUUGCUCGAGAGUGGUUGCGAAGGCCCCGAUCUAUACUUCCACCAAGGGAUUUUCGAUUCCCCCACUCAUCCCUAGCGGAUCUUGUUACUCUUGGGUGUUUGAGCACCCUAGACGGUUGAGGUCAUCACGGAGCCAUAGUCCAUUGUGGUGAAACUUCGUGGUUUUGUUGGGAGCCUCCGAUUAAGUUGUGGAUAUUGCCCCAACCUUAUUUGUAAAGGUUCGGUCGCCGCCUUCAAGGGCACCAAUAGUGGAAUCACGGCAUCUCGCAUUGUGUGAGGGCGUGAGGAGAAUACGGUGGCCCUAGUGGCUUCUUGGGGAACAUCGUGCCUCCACACCGCUCCAACGGAGACGUACUUCCCUUCAAAGGGAAGGAACUUCGGUAACACAUCCUCGUCUUCACCGGAUCCACUCUUGGUUAUCUCUUACCUUUACUUGUGCAAGCUCUUUAGUGUUACCUCUCUUGCUUGCUUGUUUGCUUGUUGGUAUUGCAUCAUAUAGGUUGCUCACCUAGUUGCACAUCUAGACAACCUACUUUGAUGCAAAGUUUAAUUUGAUAAAGAAAAGUUAAAAAUUGGUAGUUGCCUAUUUACCCCCCCUCUAGUCAACCAUAUCGAUCCUUUCAAAAAGUAAAGAGUACACUGAUGGUACAGUAUGAUAUGACAGAGUUAAACGUGCUUUUCUUAGUAGUGUCGGAGAACCAAUUAAUUUGCAUGAUGCUCUAGAUCUUAGAGAAUGGAAGGAGGCUAUGGAUAAUGAAUAUGAUGCACUCAUGAAAAAUAGAACUUGGCACUUAGUACCUUCAAGGAAGGGUAGCAAUGUCAUAUAUUGCAAAUGGGUAUAUAAGAUAAAAAGAAAAUCUGAUGGAAGCAUAGACAGAUAAAAGGCUAGAUUAGUUGCCAAAGGGUUACGGAGAUUUGGUAUUGAUUAUGAAGAUACAUUUAGUCCUGUUGUUAAGGUAGCUACCAUUCGACUUGUAUUGUCUAUUGCUAUUUCCAAAGGUUGGAGUCUAUGGCAGCUAGAUGUUCAGAACACAUUUCUUCAUGGUGUUCUUCAUGAAGAAGUGUUCAUGCGGCAGCCACCUGGAUAUGAGAAUCAAAGCACACCACAUUAUGUCUUUAAGUUGGAUAAAGCUUUGUAUGGUUUGAAACAGGCCCCAAGAGCUUGGUACUCAAGGUUGAGCAUGCUGUUACAACAACUUGCGUUUACACCAUCUAAAGCAGACACUUCAUUGUUCUUUUAUCAUAAAGACAAUAUCACUAUAUUUGUGCUUGUUUAUGUUGAUGAUAUAAUUGUUGCAAGUUCAAGUUCAGAUGCUACCACUUGUUUGCUUAAAGAUCUUAAGUUGGAGUUUGCUCUCAAAGAUUUGGGAGAUCUUCACUACUUCCUUGGCAUAGAGGUCAAGUAGAUUAAGGAUGGUACCAUUCUUACACAGGAAAAGUACACUACCGACAUACUCAGAAGAGUAGGACUGCAACACUGUAAGCCUGUAAGUACACCAAUUUUAACUUCUGGAAAACUUACAAUUGAGAGUGGAGAAGCACUUGGACCAGAGGAUGCAACUAAUUACAUAAGUGUUGUGGGUGCUUUGCAAUAUUUGACUCUUACACGUCCUGAUAUUUCUUACUCUGUGAAUAAGGUAUGUCAGUAUUUACAUGCACCUAGAACAACUCACUGGACUGCAGUCAAGAGGAUUUUAAGGUAUCUUAAGUUUUCUGAAGGACUUGGGCUUCAAAUUACCAAGUCUCCAUCUCUGCUUGUUACUGCUUACUCUGAUGCAGACUGGGUUGGGUGUGCUGAUGAUAGAAGAUCUACAUGUGGUUUUGCUGUGUUUCUGGGAACUAAUCUUAUAUCCUGGAGUGCAAGAAAACAGGCUACUGUCUCACGAUCAAGUACAGAGGCUGAAUAUAAAGCUUUGGAAAAUGCUACACCUGAAGUAAUGUGGAUACAAACAUUGCUCUAUGAACUUGGAAUCAAGGCUCCACAAGCUGCUAGAUUAUGGUGUGAUAAUAUUGGCGCAACCUAUCUUUCAGCUAAUCAUGUUUUUCAUGCACGCACUAAACAUAUUGAAGUUGAUUUCCACUUUGUCAGAGAAAGGGUAGCUCGAAAGGUACUUGAUAUUCGGUUUAUACCUACUUGAGAUCAACUUGCUGAUGGAUUCACAAAACCUCUCACUAUGAGGAGGUUGGAUGAGUUCAAGUACAAUCUUAACCUUGCGAAAGUUUCUUGAGGUUUAGAUUGAGGGGGAGUAUUAGAAGAUAUUGUACAGAGAUAGGAAAGGUGUUUAACUUGUAUCUCUUUCUAUCUCUUCUUCUGUUCUAUCUCCUCAAACCUCCUGUAACAAUCAUGAUCGAUCUCCUCUCGAUCUGUUCUUGUAAGCCCCGGCACACAACAUAUAUGUACAACUGCGGCCCGAGCAAAGGGUUCAAUGCUUCCAUCUACUUUUACACGCUUGGCGUCUUGCUAACGAACCAGAAAUUCGCGAGGUAGAUGAUAACCUCUUCGUCAUCCAGCUCUUUUAUUUGGGCGACUGGAACAUGGUCAUGCACCAGGGCCCGUGGAUCUACAGAAACCUCGUGGUUGCCAUCAAGGAAUAUGACGGCAAGGGGAAACCUAAUUCUGUCCCGCUGGAUAGAGUCCAUAUCUGGGCACAGAUUCAUGACACUCCCGAGCUUUAUAGGAAGGAACCAAUCAUGGAUAAGCUGGCUCGCCGUAUAGGACAAGUGAAGAGCAUAGAUAUGAAUCCUCCUCGUAAUUUUGAGGGCAAAUAUGUUAGGGUCUGAGCUAAGAUCAAAAUAGCAAAACCCCUAGUCAGGUUUACCCCGUUGAACAUCAAUUGGAAAGAACGGAUUAUCUUUCCAGUAAAAUUUGAGAAUAUAGCUUUCUUCUGCGAAGUAUGCGGAAUCAUGGGACACUCAAUGGAAGAAUGUGGUGAUGGUGUCCACAGUCCGGAAGAGAUUGAAUACGGCGAAUGGAUGAAAGCGACAAGGAGAACUUUGCCAGAGAAUCAGUAUGGUCGUGACAAUCCGAGCAGGAACAGGGGGAACACCUUUCGUGGGCAUGGCAGAGCCCGUGGAGGGGGGCGUGGGAACAACAACAAUGGAGCAAAAAAAAUGGUCUUCUGAGGAGGCUGGGCUUUAGGAGGAUGUCGAUCUCGACGAUGAGCUUGGAGAUACAGCAGCCAACCCGCUCAAGUGUAAGGAGGCGAACUGUGGUACAGAACCCCGCCAGUCAGCAGCGAGGAAAAAGCUGGACUUGGAGGGAGAAAAUCUUACCUCAUAUGAGGGCAAUGAUUCGGCUGAGGCAGAAAUAGAGAAGGAGGUUCAGCACGGGGAAAUUCCCCCUCCCCCUCCGGCGUACGUCUCUCCAAGGGACAGGAAGAAACCAAAAAACGGGGUGUCUCCCAUCAAAAAGACGAGCACUAUGGACAUCUUGGCAGGCUCCCUGGAGGAGCGCCGCCGGGUCCAAUGAGUCUAUCAUGCUGGAACUGUCGCGGGGCAGGCAAACCCGCGACAGUUCGACCGCUUCGCAACUUCGCGAGGCAAUUUGCCCCAUCGGUGUUGUGCUUAGUAGAAACUCAACUUCCUAGAGAUCGAGUAGAGAACUUGGCAGACACCCUAGGUUAUGAUAAUUCCUAUGCUGUUAGUAGCUCUGGCAGUGGUGGUUUAGGUAUUUUUGGAAUAAUGAAAUAAAGAUUACGAAUUUUGGUUACUCUGAUUAUCACAUUCAUGCUCUUGUUACUUUCCCCGGUACUGUACCAUGGCGGUUAAUAGUUAUGUAUGGAGAAGCUUAGGUCAGGGAAAGAGGAAGAACUUGGGACCUCAUGCGGUCUCUAGUUGCAGAAAAUGAUCAACCAUGGAUUUGCAUGGGAGACUUUAACGAAGUGUUGAACAUGGAUGAGCACGAUGGUGUCGGCUAGCGUAGUAUGCCACAAGUGUAUUGCUUCAGAGAUGCUAUUGACUCAUGUGGAUUAACAGAUUUGGGAUUCUCAGGUGCUAAAUGGACGUUUGAGAAGAAGGUAACAGGCGACACAUACACGAGGGUUCGCCUCGACAUAGCCUUAGCUAGCGCUGAAUGGUGUAGCAUGUACCCAAGAGCGGAAUUGUUUCACAAAACUGCUUCUACCUCUGAUCAUAGCCCCAUUUUGCUUUGUCUCCAACCUAAAGAUGAUGCAGCACGUCACCAUGAAAAACAUUUUAGAUAUGAGAUUAUGUGGGUUCACCUCCGAGGGCACUGCUAAUAUGCAUUAGGUGACCGAUGUGGUGCCACGCAAAGUGUCAAAUGAGAUGAACCAGUGGCUUAUUGCGGACUAUAAUAAAGAGGAAAUCAAGAUGGCUCUUUUCCAAACGGCACUUACCAAAGCACCGGGUUCAGAUGGGUUCCCAGCGCAUUUCUUCCAGAGGCAUUGGGAUUUGUGUGGCGACGAAGUUACCUCGAUCAUACUAAAAAUCCUGAGAGGUGAAGAGGAAGUGGACGAGUUGAAUGAAACGAUUCUAGUCCUCAUCCCCAAGGUAACGAAUCCCACACUUCGGACACAAUUCCGUCCUAUUAGCUUGUGCAAUGUUCUAUACAAGAUUGCGUCGAAAGUUAUGGCCAACAGGUUGAAACCCAUGCUACCGGAAAUUAUAUCUGAAGAGCAGUCGACCUUUGUUACUGGGAGGCUAGUAACAGACAACAUAAUUUCAGCCUAUGAGUGCAUCCAUUUUAUGAAACGGAACAGGUCAAAGAAGAAUGUUUUUUGUGCUUUGAAAUUAGAUAUGAUGAAGGCCUACGAUCGUUUGGAGUGGGAAUACCUUCGAGCUGUAAUGACCAAGCUGGGUUUUGCACCAGCUUGGAUCAAUUUGGUUAUGAGGAUGGUGAGUUCAGUUAAGUUCUCAGUUUUAUUCAAUGGAAAAAAGCUUGAGCAAUUCACACCUUCAUGGGGGAUUCGUCAGGGGGAUCCAAUAUCACCUUACCUGUUCUUGCUGGCAGCAGAGGGCCUUACUUGCCUCUUAAAAAGUCAAAACGAGUCAUCGCCUAUUCAUGGCAUCGAAGUGGCAGAAACGGCACCGCUGGUAAGCCACCUAAUUUUUGCAUAUGACAACCUGCUGUUUGUCAAAGCUAGUGAUGAGGGAGAUAUUUUGGUAUCCUCUCUGUUGGAUUCGUACUGUCAGGCAUCUGGACAAAAAAUUAUCUAGCCAAAUCCUCAGUUUUUUUCAGCAAGGGAUGCUCACAGAAUGUUAUAGAGAGUAUGAAAAAUAUUCUGAAUGUUCAUAAUGAAAGUCUUUCAGAAAAGUACUUGGGCAUGCCGACGGAUGUAGGGAGUAGCAAAAAUGAAGCCUUUAAGUACCUGAAAGAUAGAGUCUGGAAUAAAGUAAAGGGAUGGAUGGAGAAAGUUCUAUCAUCAGGAGGGCAAGAAGUACUCAUUAAAUCUGUAGCUCAAGCGGUUCCAGUGUACUCAAUGGCGUGUUUCAAGUUACCCCGGGGUCUAUGUCUUCAUAUUAACUCCAUCAUUCGUAAAUUNNNNNNNNNNNNNNNNNNNNNNNNNNNNNNNNNNNNNNNNNNNNNNNNNNNNNNNNNNNNNNNNNNNNNNNNNNNNNNNNNNNNNNNNNNNNNNNNNNNNNNNNNNNNNNNNNNNNNNNNNNNNNNNNNNNNNNNNNNNNNNNNNNNNNNNNNNNNNNNNNNNNNNNNNNNNNNNNNNNNNNNNNNNNNNNNNNNNNNNNNNNNNNNNNNNNNNNNNNNNNNNNNNNNNNNNNNNNNNNNNNNNNNNNNNNNNNNNNNNNNNNNNNNNNNNNNNNNNNNNNNNNNNNNNNNNNNNNNNNNNNNNNNNNNNNNNNNNNNNNNNNNNNNNNNNNNNNNNNNNNNGGAGGACUGGGAUUUAGAGAUGUCAAACUCUUUAAUCUUGCUUUAUUAGCAAGACAGGCGUGGCGAAUCCUUCAGUCACCAGAUACUCUUAGUGCCAGAAUUCUCAAAGCACAGUAUAUUCCAUCCACUGAUUUCCUUGAUGCUCAACUUGGAAGCCAACCUUCACAGAUUUGGAGGGCGAUUGUUGAAGGGAAGGAGAUCCUUUUACAGGGCCUAGUGAGGCGCAUUGGAGAUGGGAAAGAAACUAUGAUAUGGCAGCAUAAUUGGGUCCCAAAAGAGGCGUCUUUGAGGCCUAUUGCCUGCCUAACUCCACAUAGACCACAAUUGGUGUCAGAACUGAUUGAUAGUACCACGGCAACAUGGAAACAGAGCAUGGUUAGAGCUACUUUUCUUCCUCUGGAUGCCGAGGUAAUACUCAACAUACCUCUAUGCACUAGUCAAUGUAGUGAUUUCUGGGCAUGGGCUCAUGAACAGAAGGGAGAAUUCUGGGUUCGUUCAGCAUAUCGGAUGUUGAUCACGACGAAACUUCGAAGGGAAGCUUAGCUUGAAGGCCGGUCUGGAGCAGCUGACAGAACUAGAGAACAAACGAGCUGGUCUAAUUUAUGGAAGAUCAAAGUCCCAUCAAAGAAAAAGGUUUUCUUGUAGAGACUUGCACAAUGCUCACUGCCUUCUGCCGAUGUACUCAAUCAUCGGAAUAUGGCCACCUCAUCGUGUUGUGCUAUAUGUGGAGGUGAGGACUCAUGGAUGCACUCACUUAUCACGUGUAUGGCGAGGUGCGUAUGGGCGUUAAGCGAUCCGGAGCUCGUGGAGCACCUGCUAGCCAUGGCUGAACCGGAUGCAAAAUCAUGGUUAUUUAGUAUGCAGGAAUCAAUGCCCCACGACGAGUUUGUCAAACUGACGUUCACACUUUGGGCUAUCUGGUCGGCGCGCAGGAAGCUAAUCCACGAAGGGAGCACCAGAGCCGACUGGCGACGUCCCAUUUCAUUACCAGGUACCUGUCCGACUUACAAUUGGCUGGGCCGACACAGGCAAUAUCAAAUCCGAGGCAAGCUCCUGUUCAGGUACGGGCGUGGAGCACUCCACCUGCGGGCCAUCAUAAGAUAAAUGUAGAUGCAGCCACUUGUAAAAACCCGCAGGUAGGAUCAAUCAGCGCUGUAUGUCGUGAUGAGCAUGGUACUUAUGUUGGCUCUUCGGCAUUGGUCUUUCACGGACUCACGGACCCGACAACAUUAGAAGCUCUUGCUUGCCGGGAAGCCACUGCUUUGGCCAAGGACUUGAUGAUCACUAAAAUUUGUGUGGCCUCGGAUUGCCUCUCUGUUGUCAACGAUAUUCAUACUGGAACUCUUAGGAUUAUUGCACCAAUUGUGAAGGAGAUCAACAAUAUAGCUACAGAUUUCCUCUCCAGCUCUUUUAUUCAUGAAGGACGUCCCUCCAAUAAGGAGGCCCAUAGUUUAGCUAGGCAUGCUUUACAUCUAGAUGAAGGUCGUCAUGUGUGGUUUUUAAACCCUUUUGAUACUUCUAUUAUCCCUGUAUAAUUUGUACCAUUGAUCAAUAAAGUAAAGCAUGUUAGCCUUCAAAAAAAAAAAAGAGUGGCGCGAGCAGUAUCUCCCACAUGGGAAGGUAGCGAGCGCUCUGUCUCCCACACGCGAAUGUAGCCAAAGUUCGUGACCUGUGGUAGCAUUCCGGCGACUGCCUAUGUAAAUGAUCCUUUUUUAACGUACUUCACAUGCAGUGCUUUUGCUAGGUACACAUGUGAUGGUAUAAACACUAGAGCACCAUCUUUCUCGAUGCUGAUCGUGGUUGAGUCAACGUUGCUAAUGUUCAGAGUAGCAUUGUUGACGCCGCCACCUUAUUCGAAGCAUGACAUCGUAGCAGCAUCGAAGCAGCGGGGUCGCCAUUGCCACACCACUGCGGUCGUUGCAUUAUCAAUGGUGCAACUACGCAACACUGUCAUGGAAACACGUUUGCAGCAUUGUCGUGGUUGUCGAAGAAGGACGUCGUGGUUGUCGAGCCAUGUCGUCAUUACAGCCGUCGAAGCACAUCACCAACGUUAAAAGCAUGUUGCCGCGCUAUCGCCCCAGUCGUUGAAGCAUGUCUCGUAGCAUCACUACUGGUGUUUGAGCAUGUUGUCGUGCCUACGUCGCGCCUGUUGUAGCAUCGUCAAAGCAGUUGGGAUGCCGUCGCAGCAUAGCCACGGCCGCCGAACCAUAGGUGUUCGAAGCAUGUGGUCACGUCAUCAUCGCGGCCAUCACAACAUGCCUCGUAACGUCGCCGCGGUCGUCGAAGCAGUCAGAUGUCGCAGAGACCGUCGUACAUAGUAGCACUAUCCACAGCCUUCGGUGUUGUCGAGGUCGUCGGUGCUGCGACCGAGAAUUACCGAGCGGCAAGGUGCAGUAACGCGAGCUGCAAUGGAGCAACGUCGGUGCAGCGACGGAGCAUCAUGGGGCGUGCUGCACUAAUCCAUUUUAUGUACGGAUUGCUGUACUAAUCAAUUUUAUGUAAGGAUUGCUUAGGACACGUAAGUAUGGUCGGUCAAGGAAACUGAAUCCCGGGCGGGCUCGCUGUCGAUCCAUCUAUACAUCCGACGGCAAGUUGGAUCCUCCCGCCGGCUACGCCUUCGAACCAGCCGAGCACGAGCUGAUCACCAAGUUCCUCCGCCCAUGGAUCGCCGCCGGACCGGACGCCUUCUUGGCCAGCCGCCUCGUCCACGAGUUUGACGCCUACUCCGGCGCCCCCGGCGACCUCGUCGAGAUGUAUCAACACGCGCAAGGAACGGACAAGGGCGACGGGGAAGGGGGCGUCUGGUACUUCUUCACCCCUGCCCGUCGUCACCAGACCAAAGGCGGCCGCGGUGGCGGGAGGUGGCAGCGCCCCGUGGCCGACGCCGGCGAGGGUUACUACUGGCACUCGGAGAAGGGCGGGAUCCGUGUGCUAGACAACCAAGGUAAACUCGUAGGCCAUAGAAGAAACCUCAGCUACGUCAAGAAGUUGGCUGGAGAAAAAGAGAAGAUCAGGAUCAGCUGGUGCAUGGCCGAGUACAGCCUCGACGGCGACGGCAAGCAAGACGGCUUGGUGCUCUCCAAGGUCUGCGUGGCUCGUCACAGGAGCGAGACCACAUACGACGAGGUAAUCAAUGCCCCCGGUUCCAGGAAAAGGAAGGCCGCCGACGUCCAGCACCCGGAUGCUCCACGUCCCCAAACCCCACGCCGCCAGGAACCGCCGAUCGUCCAACAACCCGCGAUGCUUCAUGUCCGACGAAGGCGAGACGUUGUUGCCGCCCGGAGCAGUGGACGACGGCAGCGUGGAUCCAGGCGGGUUCUUCACCGGCGACAUGCUUCAAGAUUUUCCCGAGCUCCAUGACGCUGUGGUGGCGCAGGGAUUCUUGCCCGGUAAACUCGACGGCGCAGUCCAAGAAGGCACCGGCGCUGCAGAGGAUGAAGACGACGCCUUCCGGUGCACGUUAGAUGAGCUGCUCGGCUUCUGCGACGCCACGACUGUACUAGUCUAGAAGAGUGGAUCGUUCCACCACGUGAGGACCGAGUGCGUGAUGAACAACUCUUGCCUGCAUCCAGGAGAUGAUCCAAGAGAUGAUGUACUAGUCUAGGGAAAUACCCGAUGGUUCCUGGGUACAUAUGUACCCUAUAUGGGGAUUUUUUUAAUGAUUAAACAAAAAGUCAAAAUAGUUAAGAAACUAUUUUUAGAAUAAACUUGACUUAUUUGCGCACUAGUAUAUGAAUUUUCACAAAAAAAGAAAUUACGUUGAUUUCACAGCGAAAAAGAUAAAAUUUAUUUGCUAUUAUAGGUCACUGUUCAUGCUAUUUUGACUGAAAAUUUGUUUUUUUUAAAAGAAGUCAAAGAGGAAUUUUAUUUUGUUGGAACUUUUCUUACUAGUACAAUGGAAGGUUAAGUUUUUUCCAAAAAUAUUUUUAGAAAUUUUCGACUUUUUAUUGAAUUACUAAUUUUUUUUCCAUAUAGGAUACAUAUGUACCCAGGAACUAAACGUUCCCCUCCGUUUAGUCUAGCUUAGCUUUGAUGUAUGUCAUUGUCAUGGCACACAAACACAAGGUGUCUUGCUAAUUGUAUUGUCAUGGCACACAAACACAAGGUGUCUUGCUAAUUGUAUUGUCAUGAUGAACAAGCAAUAAAUCCGUGUGCAGCAGCCUAAUUGAUUAAUUUCUCUAUUUUUCUCUCCAUAUAUUCGUUUUAUAGUACGUACGUGAUGGUUAUAAGUGUUUCAGUUUCUCUGUUCAUGAUUUACAUCUGAUUGCCCAUGCAUAUAUGUCCAUGUUAAAAAUUAGAGAAAAGUAUACUUUUCGUCCUCAACUCUUGGUAAAGUCUAGAUUUGGUCCCUCAACUUCAAAACCGGACAACUUGCACCCCCAACUACCGAAACCGAACAAGGUUCGUCCCUGGACUCGGUUUUGACCGGUUUUGGUGCUGACUCACCCCGGUUUUGACCGGUGCUCACUCAUAUUUGUAUAAUUUUUUUAUGUCCGUGAACUUUUUGAAUUUCACAUACACUUUUCAACUCUACGUAAUUUUAUCAAGCUCGCGUAUUUUUCAAAAAUAAACAUACUUUUUUUCAAAUCAGCAAACUAUUUUGAAAUUUGCAUACUUUUAUAAUAUGUGUUCCUUUUAUGCUAAUCCAUGAACUUUGUUUGAAAUUCACGUAUUUGUUUCAAGCUGAAAUAAUUUUUGAAAUCCACAUAUUUUUGCGUAAAAAUUUCCAUAUCCGCAUACUUUUUUCCAGUUCGCAUAAACUUUUCAAAUUCAUGAGCUCUUUCCAAAAAAAUGUACUCGAAUAUGAAAAGGUACAUCAAUUUAAAAAAACUAGAUGAACUUUAAAAAAAUACGCAUAAUUAAAAAAGUAUAUGAACUUGGAAAAAGUAUGCAGAUUUUAAAAAAGUACACAAAUUUUAAAAAGGUUCAUGUAUUUGAAAAAAGUAACCGUAUUUUAAAAAGGUUCACGUAAUUGAAAAAAGUAACCGAAUUUUAAAAAGGCUCCCGUACUUGGAAAAGGUAGGCAAAUUUGAGACGGAACGGUCAAAACCGGGGUGGGACGGCACCAAAACCGUGACCAGGGAUGAAUCUUGUCCGAUUUCAGAAGUUAAGGGUGCAAAUUGUCCGGUUUUGGAGUUGAGGGACCAAAUCUAGACUCCGCCAAAAAUUAAGGGAUGAAAUGUAUACUUUUCUCUAAAAAUUAUCUUGAUUAGGACUUUUCUACAAUUAAUAAUCUUUACUAUCGAUGGUUUUCGGUAUGGAUGGUGCUUUGUAUCAGCUACAAGCCUACAACAAGCGAUACGGUCACUACUUUUCCUAGCUACGCACAUAUCUCCGCUAGCACCUCAUGAGUCAUGACCCUCGUGAAAUGCUCACCAUUCACCCGCAAUGCCUCCACUGUGGGUCACCGUUGUUGACGCAAUAUGUUUUUUUAUGAUUUUUGCAGUGUUUUUCCUGCUUUAUUUUUUCUUUUUAGUCCUUUUUUACUUGGUUUUUAUUUCUUUUUCUCCUCCUGUGUUUAUUAUAUGGGGAGUGCUACGCGUUCGCCGGGCGAUCUUUUUAAAAGAUCGCCCGGUCAUGACCCGUUGGAUCUGGUGCGUGGAGUGCGCCUUCAUCAUUGCAACAGACGUACUGUUACAGAACUACUUUCACAACAUAGGUCUUGUCGCAGAAUUUUUUGCAAUGACGGUUUUGUUGAAAAAAAUUGUAAUUUUUUUUGGAAAACUCUUUCCUUCACCCGCACGCAAUCCAUCCGCCGCCUCCUCUACGUGACUUGUGUACAUGUAUCCUUCGCGUCUCUCUUUCUACAACAUCAUAUGUGUUGCAAAACUGUCUUCCACAACAACACCCAUGUUGCGAAUAAAUGAAGACGAAAAAAAUAACAAAUAUUUUUGCAACAUUGUCUGUGUUGCAAUUUGGUUUCCGCAACAACACCCAUGUUGCAAAAACGGUGGUGAAAAAAAAUCUGCAACAUCAACUAUGUCGGAAAAAUUUCUGCAACAUAACCUUUCUUACAAAAUAUUUCUGCAACACUGCCCUUGUUGCAAUAAUGAAAAUAAUGUUGGAUGCUGGAUAGUUGUACAAAUGACAGUUGCCGAGACGGCGGAGCGUGGCCCAAGUUUUUUGCAACUCAGGUCUUGCAGAAGAAAAUUCCUGCACAAAAGGUUUUGCUGCAAAACACAAAUCCCGUUGUAGACCAUUGCAAUACAACAUCUAUUUCAGAAACAUAGCCCUUGUUACAGAAAAGCGCGUCCGAUUAAGGGCCGCAUGCGAGCCUUCACUUGGACACGUCGAGGCGGCCGUUGCAAUCCGCAGGAUGAUGGCAAACAUUUCCCAUUGUUUUUUAUUCAUUGUGUUGAUGAUUACCAACCGGGCGCUGCUAUUAUUGAGUGGUCAAGUAUCACCCUGUAGCAUUGCAACAUAUGUCGUGUUCCAGAAAAUUUCUGCAACAGAGGUUAUGUUGUAGAAAAUUUUACAGCAUAGGCCAAGUUGCAGAUUUUUUUACAAAAGGUCUGGUUAUAGUUUCUUUUUCUUGCAACAGAGGUCUUGUCUCAAAAAAAUUCAUGACAAAAGUCUUGUUACAUAAGUCGGGAAAUUUGCAAAAAAAAAUUGCAACAAAGGUCUUGUUGCAAAAUUAUUCUGUGAUGGAGGUCUUGUUGCAGAAAUUAGUAGUCUUUUCACAAUCAAUUUCCGUGCGAACCGAGGCCUGAAGGAAAUAUGCCCUAGAUGUAAUAAUAAAUUUAUUAUUUAUUUCCUUAUUUCAUGAUAAAUGUUUAUUAUUCAUGCUAGAAUUGUACUAACCGGAAACGUAAUACAUGUGUGAAUACAUAGACAAACAGAGUGUCACUAGUAUGCCUCUACUUGACUAGCUCGUUGAAUCAAAGGUGGUUAAGUUUCCUAGCCAUAGACAUGAGUUGUCAUUUGAUUAACAGGAUCACAUCAUUAGGAGAAUGAUGUGAUUGACUUGACCCAUUUUGUUAGCUUAGCACUUGAUCAUUUAGUAUGUUGCUAUUGCUUUCUUCAUGACUUAUACAUGUUCCUAUGACUAUGAGAUUAUGCAACUCCCGUUUACUGGAGGAACACUUUAUGUGCUACCAAACGUCACAACGUAACUGGGUGAUUAUAAAGGUGCUCUACAGGUGUCUCCGAAGGUACUUGUUGGGUUGGCGUAUUUCGAGAUUAGGAUUUGUCACUCCAAUUAUCGGAGAGGUAUCUCUAGGCCCACUCGGUAAUACACAUCACUUAAGCCUUGCAAGCAUUGUAACUAAUGAGUUAGUUCCGGGAUGAUGUAUUAUGAAACAAGUAAAGAGACUUGCCGGUAACGAGAUUGAACUAGGUAUUGAGAUACCGACGAACGAAUUUUGGGCAAGUAACAUACCGAUGACAAAGGGAACAACGUAUGUUGUUAUGCGGUUUGACCGAUAAAGAUCUUCGUAGAAUAUGUGGGAGUCAAUAUGAGCAUCCAGGUUCUGCUAUUGGUUAUUGAUCGGAGACAUGUCUCGGUCAUGUCUACAUAGUUCUCGAACCCGUAGGGUCCGCAUGCUUAAAGUUCGAUGACGGUUAUAUUAUGAAUUUAUGUGUUUUGAUGUACCGAAGGUAGUUCGGAGUCCCGGAUGAGAUCGGGUACAUGAUGAGGAGUCUCGAAAUGGUUGAGACGUAAAGAUCGAUAUAUUGGACGACUAUAUUCGGACAUCGGAAAGGAUCCGAGUGAUUCGGGUAUUUAUCGGAGUACCGGGGAGUUACGGGACUUCGCCGGGGAGUGUAUGGGCCUUAUUGGGCUUUAGGGGAAAGAGAGAGAGGCAGGCCGCGCGCCCCCCCAAGGCCUAGUCCGAAUUGGACUAGGGGGAAGGGCUGCGCCGCCUCCUUCCUUCUCUUCUCUUUUCCCUUUCCUUCUCUCCUACUCCUACUACUUGGAAGGGCUCCUAGUUCUACUAGGAAAGGGGGAAUCCUACUCCCGGGGGGAGUAGGACUCCACUAGGGCGCGCCAUAGAGAGAGCCAGCCCCUUCCCUCCUCCACUCCUUUAUAUACGUGGCCAGGGGCACCCCAUAGACACAACAAUUGAUCUCUUGAUCUCUUAGCCGUUUGUGGUGCCCCCUCCACCAUAAUCCACCUUGAUCAUAUCGUAGCGGUGCUUAGGCGAAGCCCUGCGUCGGUAGAACAUCAUCAUCGUCACCAUGCCGUCGUGCUGACGAAACUCUCCCUCAACACUCGGCUGGUCGGAGUUUGAGGACAUCAUCAAGUUGAACGUGGGUAGAACUCGAAGGUGCCGUGCGUUUAGUACUUGAUCGGUCUGAUCGUGAAGACGUACGACUACAUCAACCGCGUUGUGCUAAUGCUUCCGCUUUCGGUCUACGAGGGUAUGUGGACACACUCUCCCCUCUCAUUGCUAUGCCUCACCAUGAUCUUGCGUGUGCGUAUGAAUUUUUUUUAAAAAUUACUACGUUCCCCAACAGUGCUAUCAAAGCCAGGUUUUAUGCGUAGAUGUCAUAUGCACGAGUAGAACACAAGUGAGUUGUGGGCGAUAUAAGUCAUACUGCUUACCAGCAUGUCAUACUUUGGUUCGGCGGUAUUGUUGGAUGAAGCGGCCCGGACCGACAUUACACGUACGCUUACGCGAGACUGGUUCUACCGACGUGCUUUGCACACAGGAGGCUGGCGGGUGUCAGUUUCUCCAACUUUAGUUGAACCGAGUGUGGCUACGCCCAGUCCUUGCGAAGCUUAAAACAACACCAACUUGACAAACUAUCGUUGUGGUUUUGAUGCGUAGAUAAGAACGGUUCUUGCUCAGCCCGUAACAGCUACGUAAAAACUUGCAACAACAAAGUAGAGGACGUCUAACUUGUUUUUGCAGGGCAUGUUGUGAUGUGAUAUGGUCAAAGCAUGAUACUAAAUUUUAUUUUAUGAGAUGAUCAUGUUUUGUAACCGAGUUAUCCGCAACUGGCAGGAGCCAUAUGGUUGUCGCUUUAUUGUAUGCAAUGCAAUCAUCCUAUAAUGCUUUACUUUAUCACUAAGCGGUAGCGAUAGUCGUGGAAGCAUAAGAUUGGCGAGACGACAACGAUGCUACGAUGGAGAUCAAAGUGUCGCGUCGGUGACGAUGGUGAUCAUAACGGUGCUUCGGAGAUGGAGAUCACAAGCACACGAUGAUGAUGGACAUAUCAUAUCACUUAUAUUGAUUGCAUGUGAUGUUUAUCUUUUAUGCAUCUUGUCUUGCUUUGGUUAACGGUAGCAUUAUAAGAUGAUCUCUCACUAAAUUUCAAGAUAAAAGUGUUCUCCCUGAGUAUGCACCGUUGCCAAAGUUCAUCGUGCCCAGACACCAUGUGAUGAUUGGGUGUGAUAAGCUCUACGUCCAUCUACAACGGGUGCAAGCCAGUUUUGCACACGCAGAAUACUCAGGUUAAACUUGACAAGCCUAGCAUAUGCAGAUAUGGCCUCGGAACACUGAGACCGAAAGGUCGAGCGUGAAUCAUAUAGUAGAUAUGAUCAACAUAGUGAUGUUCACCAUUGAAAGCUACUCCAUUUCACGUGAUGAUCCUUUAUGGUUUAGUUGAUAUGGAUCACGUGAUCACUUAGAGGAUUAGAGAGAUGCCUAUCUAAGUGGGAGUUCUUAAGUAAUAUUAUUAAUUGAACUUAAAUUUAUCAUGAACUUAGUCCUGGUAGUAUUAGCAUAUCUAUGUUGUAGAUCAAUAGCUCGUGUUUAGCUCCCCUGUUUUAUUUUUUGAUAUUUUCCUAGAGAAAACUAAGUUGAAAGAUGUUAGUAGCAAUGAUGCGGAUUGGAUCCGUGAUCUAAGGUUUAUCCUCAUUGCUGCACAGAAGAAUUAUGUCCUUGAUGCACCGCUAGGUGACAAACCUAUUGCAGGAGCAGAUGCAGAUGUUAUGAAAGUUUGGCUAGCUCAAUAUGAUGACUACUUGAUAGUUUAGUGCACCAUGCUUAAAUGGCUUAGAAUCGGGACUUCAAAGACAUUUUGAAUGUCAUUGACCAUAUGAGAUGUUCCAGAAGUUGAAGUUAAUAUUUCAAGAAAAUACCCGAGUUGAGAGAUAUGAAGUCUCCAACAAGUUCUAUAGCUAAAAGAUGGAGGAGAAUAGCUCAAGCAGUGAGCAUGUGCUCAAAUUGUCUGGGUACUACAAUCGCUUGAAUCAAGUGGGAGUUAAUCUUCUAGAUAAAAUAGUGAUUGACAGAAUUCUCUAGUCACAAUCACCAAAUUAGUAGAACUUUGUGAUGAACUAUAGUAUGCAAGGGAUGACGAAAAUGAUUCCCAAGCUUUUCAUUAUGAUUAAAUCGAUGAAGGUAGAAAUCAAGAAAGAGCAUCAAGUGUUGAUGAUUAACAAGACCACUAGUUUCAAGAAAAGGGCAAAGGGAAAGAAAGGGAAAUUCAAGAAGAACAGCAAGAAAGUUGCUGCUCAAGUGAAGAAGCCCAAGUCUGGACCUAAGCAUGAGACUAAGUGCUUCUACUGCAAAGGGACUGGUCACUGGAAACGGAACUACCCCAAGUAUUUGGCGGACAAGAAGGAUGGCAAAGUGAACAAUGCUAUAUUUGAUAUACAUGUUAUUGAUGUGUACUUUACUAGUGUUUAUAGCAACCCCUCGGUAUUUGAUACUGGUUCAGUUGCUAAGAGUAGUAACUCGAAACGGGAGUUGCAGAAUGAACAGAGACUAGUUAAGGGUGAAGUGACGAUGUGUGUUGGAAGUGGUUCCAAGAUUGAUAUUAUCAUCAUCGCACACUCCCUAUACUUUCGGGAUUAGUGUUAAAACUAAAUAAAUGUUAUUUGGUGUUUGCGUUGAGCAUGAAUAUGAUUUGAUCGUGUUUAUUGCAAAAUGGUUAUUCAUUUAAGUUAGAGAAUAAUUGUUGUUCUGUUUACAUGAAUAAAACCUUCUAUGGUCAUACACCCAAUGAAAAUGGUUCGUUGGAUCUCGAUCGUAGUGAUACACAUAUUCAUAAUAUUGAAGACAAAAUAUGAAAAGUUAAUAAUGAUAGUGCAACUUAUUUGUGUCACUGCCGUUUAGGUCAUAUUGGUGUAAAGCGCAUGAAGAAACUCCAUGUUGAUGGGAUUUUGGAAUCACUUGAUUAUGAAUCAUUUUGAUGCUUGCGAACCAUGCCUCAUGGGCAAGAUGACUAAGGCUCCGUUCUUCGGAACAAUGGAGCGAGCAACUGGCAUAUUGGAAAUAAUACAUACUGAUGUAUGCAGUCCGAUGAGUGCUGAGGCUCGCGGCGGGUAUCAUUAUUUUCUGACCUUCAUAGAUGAUUUGAGCAGAUAUGGGUAUAUCUACUUGAUGAAACAUAAGUGUGAAACAUUUGGAAAGUUCAAAGAACUUCAGAGUGAAGUGGAAAAUCAUCGUGACAAGAAAAUAAAGUUUCUAUGAUCUGAUCGCAGAGACAAAUAUUUGAGUUAUGAGUUUGGUCUUCAAUUAAAACAAUGUGGAAUAGUUUCACAAAAUCGUGCCACCUGGAACACCACAGCAUAAUGGUGUGUCCGAGCGUCAUAACCGUACUAUUAUUGGAUAUAGUGCAAUCUAUGAUGUUUCUUAUCGAUUAACCACUAUAGUUUUGGGGUUAUGCAUUAGAGACAGCUGCAUUCACAUUAAAAAGGGCACCAUCUAAAUCCGUUGAGAUGACACCGUAUGAACUGUGGUUUGGCAAGAAACCAAAGUUGUCGUUUCUUAAAGUUUGGUGUUGCGAUGCUUAUAAGAAAAAGUUUCAUCCUGAUAAGUUCAAACCCAACUCGGAGAAAUGUGUCUUCAGAGGAUACCCAAAGGAGACAAUUGGGUACACCUCUAUCACAGAUCCGAAGGCAAGACAUUCGUUGCUAAGAAUGGAUCCUUUCUAGAGAAGGAGUUUCUCUCGAAAGAAGUGAGUGGUAGGAAAGUAGAACUUGAUGAGGUAACUGUACCUGCUCCCUUAUUGGAAAGUAGUUCAUCACCGAAACCGGUUCCUGUGACGCCUACACCAAUUAGCGAUGAAGUUAAUGAUGAUGAUCAUGGAACUUCAGAUCAAGUUGUUAAUGAACCUCGUAGGUCAACCAGAGUAAGAUCCGCACCAGAGAGGUACGGUAAUCCUGUUCUGGAGGUUAUGUUACUAGACCAUGACGAACCUACGAACUAUGAAGAAGCGAUGGCGAGCCCAGAUUCCACAAAAUGGCUUGAGGCCAUGAAAUCUGAGAUGGGAUUCAUGUAUGAGAACAAAGUGUGGAUUUUUGUUGACUUGCCCAAUGAUCGGCAAGCCAUUGAGAAUAAAUGGAUCUUCAAGAAGAAGACUGACGCUGACGGUAAUAUUACUAUCUAUAAAGCUCGACUUGUUGCAAAAGGUUUUCGACAAGUUCAAGGGAUUGACUAUGAUGAGACUUUCUCACCCAUAGCGAUGCUUAAGUCUGUCCGAAUCAUAUUAGCAAUUGCCGCAUUUUAUGAUUAUGAAAUUUGGAAAAUGGAUGUCAAAACUGCAUUCCUGAAUGGAUUUCUGGAAGAAGAGUUGUAUAUGAUGCAACCAGAAGGUUUUGUCGAUCCAAAGGAAGCUAACAAAAUGUGCAAGCUCCGGCGAUCCAUCUAUGGACUGGUGCAAGCAUCUAGGAGUUAGAAUAUACGCUUUGAUGAGUUGAUCAAAGCAUAUAGUUUUAUACAGACUUGCGGUGAAGCCUAUAUUUACAAGAAAGUGAGUGGGAGUUGUAUAGCAUUUCUGAUAUUAUAUGUGGAUGACAUAUUGCUGAUUGGAAAUGAUAUAGAAUUUCUGGAUAGCAUAAAAGGAUACUUGAAUAAAAGUUUUUCAAAGAAAGACCUUGGUGAAGCUACUUACAUAUUGAGCAUUCAAGAUCUAUAGAGAUAGAUCAAGACGCUUGAUAAGUUUUUUCAAUGAGUACAUACCUUGACAAGAUUUUGAAGUAGUUCAAAAUGGAACAUUCAAAGAAAGAGUUCUUCCUGUGUUACAAGGUGUGAAAUUGAGUAGACUCAAAGCCCGACCACGGCAGAAGAUAGAAAGAGAAUGAAAGUCAUUCCCUAUGCCUCAGCCAUAGGUUCUAUAAAGUAUGCCAUGCUGUGUACCAGAUCUAUUGUAUACCCUACACUGUUUUUUUUUGCAAGGGAGUACAAUAGUGAUCUAGGAGUAGAUCACUGGACAGCGGUCAAAAUUAUCCUUAGUGGAAUAAGGAUAUGUUUCUCGAUUAUGGAGGUGACAAAAGGUUCGUCGUAAAGGGUUACAUCGAUGCAAAUUUUGACACUGAUCGAGAUGACUAUAAGUCUCAAUCUGGAUACAUAUUGAAAGUGGGAGCAAUUAGCUAGAGUAGCUCCGCGCAGAGCAUUGUUGACAUAGAAAUUUGCAAAAUACAUACGGAUCUGAAUGUGGCAGACCUGUUGAGUAAACUUCCCUGACAAGCAAAACAUGAUCACACCUUAGUACUCUUUGGGUAUUAAUCGUAUAGCGAUGUGAACUAGAUUAUUGACUCUAGUAAACCCUUUGGGUGUUGGUCACAUGACGAUGUGAACUAUGGGUGUUAAUCACAUGGUGAUGUGAACUAUUGAUGUUAAAUCACAUCGCGAUGUGAACUAGAUUAUUGACUCUAGUGCAAGUGGGAGACUCAAGGAAAUAUGCCCUAGAGGCAAUAAUAAAUUUAUUAUGUAUUUCCUUAUUUCAUGAUAAAUGUUUAUUAUUCAUGCUAGAAUUGUAUUAACCGGAAACAUAAUACAUGUGUGAAUACAUAGACAAACAGAGUGUCACUAGUAUGCCUCUACUUGACUAGCUCGUUGAAUCAAAGAUGGUUAAGUUUCCUAGCCAUAGACAUGAGUUGUCAUUUAAUUAACAGGAUCACAUCAUUAGGAGAAUGAUGUGAUUGACUUGACCCAUUCCAUUAGCUUAGCACUUGAUCAUUUAGUAUGGUGCUAUUGCUUUCUUCAUGACUUAUACAUGUUCCUAUGACUAUGAGAUUAUGCAACUCCCGUUUACCGGAGGAACACUUUGUGUGCUACCAAACAUCACAACAUAACUGAGUGAUUAUAAAGGUGCUCUACAGGUGUCUCCGAAGGUACUUCUUGGGUUGGCGUAUUUCGAGAUUAGGAUUUGUCACUCCGAUUGUCGGAGAGGUAUCUCUAGGCCCACUCGGUAAUACACAUCACUUAAGCCUUGCAAGCAUUGUAACUAAUGAGUUAGUUCCGGGAUGAUGUAUUACGAAACGAGUAAAGAGACUUGCCGGUAACGAGAUUGAACUAGGUAUUGAGAUACCGACGAUCGAAUCUUGGGCAAGUAACAUACCGAUGACAAAGGGAACAACGUAUGUUGUUAUGUGGUUUGACCGAUAAAGAUCUUCGUAGAAUAUGUGGGAGCCAAUAUGAGCAUCCAGGUUCCGCUAUUGGUUAUUGACCGGAGACGUGUCUCGGUCAUGUCUACAUAGUUCUCGAACCCAUAGGGUCCGCAUGCUUAAAGUUCGAUGAUGGUUAUAUUAUGAGUUUAUGUGUUUUGAUGUACCGAAGGUAGUUCGGAGUCUCGGAUGAGAUCGGGGACAUGAAAAGGAGUCUCUAAAUGGUUGAGACGUAAAGAUCGAUAUAUUGGACAACUAUAUUCGGACAUCGAAAAGGUUCCGAGUGAUUCCGGUAUUUAUCGGAGUACCGGGGAGUUACGGGAAUUCGCCGGGGAGUGUAUGGGCCUUAUUGGGCUUUAGGGGAAAGAGAGAGAGGCAGGACGCCCUGCCCCCCCCCAAGGCCUAGUCCGAAUUGGACCAGGGGAAGGGCUGCGCCCCCUCCUUCCUUCUCUUCUCUUUUCCCUUUCCUUCUCUCCUACUCCUACUACUUGGAAGGGCUCCUAGUUCUACUAGGAAAGGGGGAAUCCUACUCCCGGUGGGAGUAGGACUCCCCUAGGGCGCGCCAUAGAGAGGGCCGGCCCCUUCCCUCAUCCACUCCUUUAUAUACGUGGCUAGGGGGCACCCCAUAGACACAACAAUUGAUCUCUUGAUCUCUUAGCCGUGUGCGGUGCCCCCUCCACCAUAAUCCACCUCGAUCAUAUCGUAGUGGUGCUUAGGCGAAGCCCUGUGUCGGUAGAACAUCAUCAUCGUCACCACGCCGUCGUGCUAACGAAACUCUCCCUCAACACUCGGCUGGAUUGGAGUUCGAGGGACGUCAUCGAGGUGAACGUGUGCAGAACUCGGAGGUGUCGUGCAUUCUGUACUUGAUCGGUCGGAUCGUGAAGACGUAAGACUACAUCAACCGCGUUGUGCUAACGCUUCUGCUUUCGGUCUACGAGGGUGCGUGGACACACUCUCCCCUCUCAUUGCUAUGCAUCACCAUGAUCUUGCGUGUGCGUAGUAUUUUUUUUUUUUUGAAAUUACUACGUUCCCCAACAAGGCCCUGCAACUAUUCCUGGAUGAGACGAGAGCGAUAGGAUCGUGAUUUCUAGGGAGGGAAUGGUGGACAGCAGGCAGGGCCACAUGGACACGUGGUAGACAAUGAAUACGGUCGACGUUUCGGAGCGAUCCGCCGGUGGAUCCACCGGUGAGUGUUACUAUUCAUCACCGAGGGUGCAUAAUAAGUUAUUGUUCACCCGAGGUAAUAUUACGAUCAUCUCAUAAUAUACUCCCUCCGCCCCAAAUUUUUUAUCUUAGAUUUGUCUAAAUACGGAUGUAUCAAGUCACAUUUUCGUAGGAAAUAUGCCCUAGAGGCAAUAAUAAAGUUAUUAUUUAUUUCCUUAUUUCAUGAUAAAUGUUUAUUAUUCAUGCUAGAAUUGUAUUAACCGGAAACAUGAUACAUGUGUGAAUACAUAGACAAACAGAGUGUCACUAGUAUGCCUCUACUUGACUAGCUCGUUGAUCAAAGAUGGUUAUGUUUCUUAGCCAUAGACAUGAGUUGUCAUUUCAUUAAUGGGGUCACAUCAUUAGGAGAUUGAUGUGAUUGACUUGACCCAUUCCGUUAGCUUAGCACUCGAUCAUUUAGUAUGUUGCUAUUGCUUUCUUCAUGACUUAUACAUGUUCCUAUGACUAUGAGAUGAUGCAACUCCCGUUUACCGAAGGAACACUUUGUGUGCUACCAAACGUCACAACGUAACUCGGUGAUUAUAAAGGUGCUCUACAGGUGUCUCCGAAGGUACUUGUUGGGUUGGCGUAUUUCGAGAUUAGGAUUUGUCACUCCGAUUGUCGGAGAGGUAUCUCUGGGCCCACUCGGUAAUGCACAUCACUAUAAGCCUUGCAAGCAUUGCAACUAAUGAGUUAGUUGCGGGAUGAUGUAUUACAGAACGAGUAAAGAGACUUGCGGGUAACGAGAUUGAAGUAGGUAUUGAGAUACCGACGAUCGAAUCUCGGGCAAGUAACAUACCGAUGAUAAAGGGAACAACGUAUGUUGUUAUGCAGUUUGACCGAUAAAAAUCUUCAUAGAAUAUGUAGGAGCCAAUAUGACCAUCCAGGUUCCGCUAUUGGUUAUUGACCGGAGACGUGUCUCGGUCAUGUCUACAUAGUUCUUGAACUCGUAGGGUCCGCACGCUUAAAGUUCGAUGACGGUUAUAUUAUGAGUUUAUGUGUUUUGAUGUACCGAAGGAGUUCAAAGUCCCGGAUGAGAUCGGGGACAUGACGAGGAGUCUCGAAAUGGUCGAGACGUAAAUAUCGAUAUAUUGGACGACUAUAUUCGGACAUCGGAAAGGUUCUGAGUGAUUCGGGUAUUUAUCGGAGUACCGGAGAGUUACAGGAAUUCGCCGGGCAGUACAUGGGCCUUAUUGGGCCAUACGGGAAUAGAGGAGGGAGGCUAAAAGGAAGGAGGCGCGCGGGCCCCCUCUGGUCCGAAUUGGACAAGGGGUGCAGCCCCCUUUUCCUUCUUCCUCUCCACCUCUUUCCUUCUCUCCUACUCCAACAAGGAAAGGAGGAGUCCUACUCCCCAACUAGGCCGGCCGCCUCCCCCCUUGCUCCUUUAUAUACGGGGGCAGGGGGCACUCCAUGGACACAACAAUUGAUCAUUGAUCUCUUAGCCGUGUGCGGUGCCCCCCUCCACCAUAAUCCUCGAUAAUAUUGUAGCGGUGCUUAGACGAUGCCCUGCGAUGGUAGAACAUCAAGAUCAUCACAACGCCUUUGUGCUGACGGAACUCUCCCUCAAAGCUCGGCUGGAUCGGUGUUCGAGGGACGUCAUCGAGUUGAACGUGUGCAGAACUCGGAGGUGUCGUGUGUUCGGUACUUGAUCGGUCGGAUCGUGAAGAUGUACGACAACAUCAACCGCGUUGUGCUAAUGCUUCCGCUUUCGGUCUAUGAGGGUACAUGGACAACACUCUCCCCUCUCGUUGCUAUGCAUCACCAUGAUAUUGCAUGUGCGUAGGAAUUUUUUUGAAAUUACUGCGUUCCCCAACAGUGGCAUCCGAGCCAGGUUUUAUCCGUUGAUGUUAUGCAUGAGUAGAACACAAGUGAGUUGUGGGCGAUAUAAGUCAUACUGCUUACCAGCAUGUCAUACUUUGGUUCGGCGGUAUUGUUGGAUGAAGCGGCCCGGACCGAAAUUACGCGUACGCUUACGCGAGACUGGUUCUACCGACGUGCUUUGCACAUAGGUGGCUGGCGGGUGUCAGUUUCUCCAACUUUAGUUGAACCGAGUGUGGCUACGCCCGGUCCUUGCGAAGGUUAAAACAGCACCAACUUGACAAACUAUCGUUGUGGUUUUUGAUGCGUAGGUAAGAACGGUUUUUGCUAAGCCCAUAGCAGCCACGUAAAACUUGCAACAACAAAGUAGAGGACAUCUAACUUGUUUUUGUAGGGCAUGUUGUGAUGUGAUAUGAUCAAGACAUGAUGCUAAAUUUUAUUGUAUGAGAUGAUCAUGUUUAUUAACCAAGUUAUCGGCAACUGGCAGGAGCCAUAUGGUUGUCGAUUUAUUGUAUGCAAUGCAAUCGCGCUGUAAUGCUUUAAUUUAUCACUAAGCGGUAGCGAUAGUCGUGGAAGCAUAAGACUGGCGAGACGACAACGAUGCUACGAUGGAGAUCAAGGUGUCGCGCUGGUGACGAUGGUGAUCAUGACGGUGCUUCGGAGAUGGAGAUCACAAGCACAAGAUGAUGAUGGCCAUAUCAUAUCACUUAUAUUGAUUGCAUGUGAUGUUUAUCUUUUAUGCAUCUUAUCUUGCUUUGAUUGAUGGUAGCAUUAUAAGAUGAUCCCUCACUAAAUUAUCAAAGUAUAAGUGUUCUCCCUGAGUAUGCACCGUUGCGAAAGUUCUUCGUGCUGAGACAACACGUGAUGAUCGGGUGUGAUAUGCUCUACGUUCAAAUACAACGGGUGCAAAACAGUUGCACACGUGGAAUACUCAGGUUAAACUUGACGAGCCUAGCAUAUAACAGAUAUGGCCUCGGAACACGGAGACUGAAAGGUCGAGCGUGAAUCAUAUAGUAGAUAUGAUCAACAUAGUGAUGUUCACCGUUGAAACUACUCCAUCUAACGUGAUGAUCGGACAUGGUUUAGUUGAUAUGGAUCACGUGAUCACUUAGAGGAUUAGAGGGAUGUCUAUCUAAGUGGAAGUUCUUAAGUAAUAUGAUUAAUUGAACUUAAAUUUAUCAUGAACUUAGUCCUGGUAGUAUUAGCAUAUCUAUGUUGUAGAUCAAUAGCUCGCAUUGUUGCUUCCCUAUGUUUAUUUUGAUAUGUUCCUAGAGAAAAACUAAGUUGAAAGAUGUUAGUAGCAAUGAUGCGGAUUGGAUCUAUGAUCUGAGGUUUAUCCUCAUUGCUGCACAGAAGAAUUAUGUCCUUGAUACACCGCUAGGUGACAGACCUAUUGCAGGAGCAGAUGCAGACGUUAUGAACGUUUAGCUAGCUCAAUAUGAUGACUACUUGAUAGUUUAGUGCACCAUGCUUAACGGCUUAGAAUCGGGACUUCAAAGACGUUUUGAACGUCAUGGACCAUAUGAGAUGUUCCAGGAGUUGAAGUUAAUAUUUCAAGCAAAUACCCGAGUUGAGAGAUAUGAAAUCUCCAACAAGUUCUAUAGCUAAAAGAUGGAGGAGAAUAGCUCAAGCAGUGAGCAUGUGCUCAGAUUGUCUGGGUACUACAAUCGCUUGAAUCAAGUGGGAGUUAAUCUUCCAGAUAAGAUAGUGAUUGACAGAAUUCUCUAGUCACCAUCACCAAGUUAGUUGAACUUCAUGAUGAACUAUAAUAUGCAAGGGAUAACGGAAACGAUUCCCAAGCUCUCCGUGAUGCUGAAAUCGACGAAGGUAGAAAUCAAGAAAACCAUCAAGUGUUGAUAGUUAACAAGACCACUAGUUUCAAGAAAAGGGAAAAGGGAAGAAGGGGAACUUCAAGAACAACGGCAAGCGAGUUGCUGCUCAAGUGAAGAAGCCCAAGUCUGGACCUAAGCCUGAGACUGAGUGCUUCUACUGCAAAGGAACUGGUCAUUGGAAACGGAACUGCCCCAAGUAUUUGGCGGAUAAGAAGGAUGGCAAAGUGAACAAAGAUAUAUUUGAUAUACAUGUUAUUGAUGUAUACUUUACUAGUGUUUAUAGCAACCCCUAAGUAUUUGAUACUAGUUCCGUUGCUAUGAUUAGUAACUCAAAAUGGGAGUUGCAGAAUAAACAGAGACUAGUUAAGGGUGAAGUGACGAUGUGUGUUGGAAGUGGUUCCAAGAUUGAUAUGAUCAUCAUCGCAGACUCCCUAUAUUUUCGAGAUUAGUGUUGAACCUAAAUAAGUGUUAUUUGGUGUUUGCGUUGAGCAUGAAUAUGAUUUGAUCAUGUUUAUUGCAAUACGAUUACUCAUUUAAGUUAGAGAACAAUUGUUGUUCUGUUUACAUGAAUAAAACCUUCUAUGGUCAUACACACCAACGAAAAUGGUUUGUUGGAUCUCGAUCGUAGUGAUACACAUAGUCAUAAUAUUGAAGACAAAAGAUGCAAAGUUAAUAAUGAUAGUGCAACUUGUUUGUGGCACUGCCGUUUAGGUCAUAUUGGUGUAAAUCGCAUGAAGAAACUCCAUGCUGAUGGGAUUUUGGAAUCACUUGAUUAUGAAUCACUUGAUGCUUGCGAACCAUGCCUUAUGGGCAAGAUGACUAAAACUCCAUUCUCUGGAAUAAUGGAGCAAGAAAUUGGCUUAUUGGAAAUAAUACAUACUGAUGUAUGCGUUCUGAUGAGUGUUAAGGCUCACGGCGGGUAUCAUUAUUUUCUGACCUUCAUAGAUGAUUUGAGCAGGUAUGGGUAUAUCUACUUGAUGAAACAUAAAUCUGAAACAUUUGAACAAUUCAAAGAAUUUCAGAGUGAAGUGGAAAAUCAUCGUGACAAGAAAAUAAGGUUUCUAUGAUCUGAUCGCAUAGACGAAUAUUUGAGUUACGAGUUUGGUCUUCAAUUAAAACAAUGUGGCAUAGUUUCACAAAUUCGUGCCACCUGGAACACCAUAGCAUAUUGGUGUGUCCGAACGUCAUAACCGUACUUUAUUAGAUAUGGUGCGAUCUAUGAUGUCUCUUACCGAUCUACCACUAUCGUUUUGGGGUUAUGCAUUAGAGACAGCUGCAUUCACGUUAAAUAGGUCACCAUCUAAACCCGUUGAUAUGACACUUUAUGAACUAUGGUUUGGCAAGAAACCUAAGCUGUCAUUUCUUAAAGUUUGAGGUUGCAAUGCUUAUGUGAAAAAGUUUCAACCUGAUAAGCUCAAACCCAAAUCGAAGAAGUGCGUCUUCAUAGGAUACCCAAAGGAGACAAUUGGGUACACCUUCUAUCACAGAUCCGAAGGCAAGACAUUCGUUUCUAAGAAUGGAUCCUUUCUAGAGAAGGAGUUUCUCUCGAAAGAAGUGAGUGGGAGGAAAGUAGAACUUGAUGAGGUAACUGUACCUGCAACCUUAUUGGAAAGUAGUUCAUCACAGAAAUCUGUUCCUGUGACUACUCAACCAAUUAGUGAGGAAGCUAAUGAUGAUGAUCAUGUAACUUCAGAUCAAGUUACUACCGAACCUCGUAGGUAAACAAGAGUGAUAUCCGCACUAGAGUGGUACGAUAAUCCUGUUCUGGAGGUCAUGUUACUUGACCAUGACGAACCUAUGAACUAUGAGGAAGCGAUGGUGAGCCCAGAUUCUGCAAAAUGGCUUGAGGGCAUGAAAUCUGAGAUGAGAUCCAUUUAUGAGAACAAAGUAUGGACUUUGAUUGACUUGCCCAAUGAUCGACGAGCCAUUGAGAUUAAAGGGAUCUUCAAGAGGAAGACGGACGCUGAUAGUAGUGUUACUAUCUACAAAGCUAGAAUUGUCGCAAAAGGUUUUCGACAAGUUCAAGUGUUGACUACGAUGAGAGUUUCUCACUCGUAUCUAUGCUUAAGUCUGUCCGGAUCAUGUUAGCAAUUGCCGCAUUUUAAGAAAUCUGGCAAAUGGAUAACAAAACUGCAAUCCUUAAUGGAUUUAUUAAAGAAGAGUUCUAUAUGAUGCAACCAGAAGGUUUUGUCAAUCCUAAAGGUGCUAACAAAAUGUGCAAGCUCCAGCGAUCCAUCUGUGGACUGGUGCAAGCAUCUCGGAGUUGGAAUAUACGCUUUGAUGAGUUGAUUAAAGCAUAUAGUUUUAUACAGACUUGCGGUGAAGCAUGUAUUUACAAGAAAGUGAGUGGGAGCACUACGACAUUUCUGAUAAGUAUAUGUGAAUGACAUAUUGUUGAUCGGAAAUAAUGUAGAAUUAUUCUGCAAAGCAUAAAGGAGUGUUUGAAAGGAGUUUUUCAAAGAAAGACCUCGGUGAAGCUGCUUACAUAUUGAGCAUCAAGAUCUAUAGAGAUAGAUCAAGAUGCUUGAUAAGUUUUUUCAAUGAGUACAUACCUUGAAAAGAUUUUGAAGUAGUUCCAAAUGGAACAAUCAAAGAAAGAGUUCCUGCCUGUGUAACAAGGUGUGAAAUUGAGUAAGACUCAAAGCCCGACCACGGCAGAAGAUAGAAAGAGAGUGAAAGUCAUUCCCUAUGCCUUAGCCAUAGGUUCUAUAAAGUAUGCCAUGAUGUGUACCAGAUCUAUUGUAUACCCUACACUGAUUUUGGCAAGGGAGUACAAUAGUGAUCUAGGAGUAGAUCACUGGACAGCGGUCAAAAUUAUCCUUAGUGGAAUAGGGAUAUUUUUCUCGAUUAUGGAGGUGACAAAAAGGUUUGUCGUAAAGGGUUAUGUCGAUGGAAAUUUUGACACUGAUCCAGAUGACUCUAAGUCUCAAUCUGGAUACAUAUUGAAAGUGGGAGCAAUUAGCUAGAGUAGCUCCGUGCAGAGCAUUAUAGACAUAGAAAUUUGCAAAAUACUUACGGAUCUGAAUGUGAUAGACCCGUUGACUAAAAUUAUCUCACAAGCAAAACAUGAUCACACCUUAGUACUCUUUGGGUGUUAAUCACAUAGCGAUGUGAACUACAUUACUGACUCUAGUAAACCCUUUGGGUGUUGGUUACAUGUCGAUGUGAACUAUGGGUAUUAACCACAUAAAGAUGUGAACUAUUAAUGUUAAAUCACAUGGCGAUGUGAACUAGAUUAUUGACUCUAGUGCAAGUGGGAGAGUGAAGGAAAUAUGCCCUAGAGGCAAUAAUAAAGUUAUUAUUUAUUUCUUUAUUUCAUGAUAAAUGUUUAUUAUUCAUGCUAGAAUUGUAUUAACCGGAAACAUGAUACAUGUGUGAAUACAUAGACAAACAGAGUGUCACUAGUAUUCCUCUACUUGACUAGCUCGUUGAUCAAAGAUGGUUAUGUUUCCUAGACAUAGACAUGAGUUGUCAUUUGAUUAACGGGAUCAAAUCAUUAGGAGAAUGACGUGAUUGACUUGACCCAUUCCGUUAGCUUAGCACUUGAUCAUUUAAUUUGUUGCUAUUGCUUUCUUCAUGACUUAUACAUGUUCCUAUGACUAUGAGAUUAUGCAACUCCCAUUUACCGGAGGAACACUUUGUGUGCUACCAAACGUCACAACAUAACUGGGUGAUUAUAAAGGUGCUCUACAGGUGUCUCCGAAGGUACUUGUUGGGUUGCCGUAUUUCGAGAUUAGGAUUUGACACUCCGAUUGUCGGAGAGGUAUCUCUGGGCCCACUCCGUAAUGCACAUCACUAUAAGCCUUGCAAGCAUUGCAACUAAUGAGCUAGUUGCGGGAUGAUGUAUUACGGAACGAGUAAAGAGACUUGCCGGUAACGAUAUUGAACUAGGUAUUGAGAUACCGACGAUCGAAUCUCGGGCAAGUAACAUACAGAUGACAAAGGGAACAACGUAUGUUGUUAUGCGGUUUGACCGAUAAAGAUCUUUGUAGAAUAUGUAAGAGCCAAUAUGACCAUCCAGGUUCCGCUAUUGGUUAUUGAUCGGAGACGUAUCUCGGUCAUGUCUACAUAGUUCUCGAACCCGUAGGGUCCGCACGGUUAAAGUUCGAUGACGGUUAUAUUAUGAGUUUAUGUGUUUUGAUGUACCGAAGGAGUUCGGAGUCCCGGAUGAGAUCGGGGACAUGACGAGGAGUCUCGAAAUGGUCAAGACGUAAAGAUCGAUAUAUUGGACGACUAUAUUCGGACAUCGGAAAGGUUCCCAGUGAUUCGGGUAUUUAUCGGAGUACCGGAGAGUUACGGGAAUUCGCCGGGGAGUAUAUGGGCCUUAUUGGGCCAUACGGGAAUAGAGGAGAGAGGCCAAAAGGAAGGAGGCGCGCGGCCCCCCUCUGGUCCGAAUUAGACAAGGGGUGCAUCCCCCUUUUCCUUCUUCCUCUCCUCCUCUUUCCUUCUCUCCUACUCCAACAAGGAAAGGAGGAGUCCUACUCCCCCCCCCUUGGUGCGCCCUCCUCCUAGGCCGGCCGCCUCCCCCAUUGCUCCUUUAUAUACGGGGGCAGGGGGGCACCCCAUGGAUAAAACAAUUGAUCAUUGAUCUCUUAGCCGUGUGCGGUGCCCCCCUCCACCAUAAUCCUCGAUAAUAUUGUAGCGGUGCUUAGGCGAAGCCCUAUGACGGUAGAACAUUAAGAUCGUCACCACACCGUCGUGCUGAUGGAACUCUCUCUCAAAGCUCGGCUGGAUCGGAGUUCGAGGGACGUCAUCGAGUUGAACGUGUGCAAAACUCGGAGGUGCCGUGUGUUCGGUACUUGAUCGGUCGGAUCGUGAAGACGUACGACAACAUCAACCGCGUUGUGCUAACGCUUCCGCUUUCGGUCUACGAGGGUAUGUGGACAACACUCUCCCCUCUCGUUGCUAUGCAUCACCAUGAUCUUGCAUGUGCGUAGGAAUUUUUUUGAAAUUACAACGUUCCCCAACAAUUUUAGUAUUAGAUACAUUCGUAUCUAGACAAAUCUAAGACAAAAAAUUUGGGACGGAGGAAGUAUAACAAAACUAUUUUGGGUCAUAUUACCAUUUUGCACACUUGGAAAAAAAUGGUCCAGGUAAAAAAAAGAAGUGCCCACUAAUUUAACAAUGUGUGAUAAAACUGAUAAAGUGUUUGAGUAUUCUAAAUAAAAUGGUCUUGCACUUUCAAAAAUGAUUCAUGAACUAUUUAGAAAAAUAUCCAUUUUAUUUAUAAAAAAUACUCAUGUAUUUGGAAAAUAAUUUUCAUUUUUUCAAAGAAUGUUCACAUAUUUUAUAGAAUUUACAUGUAAUUAUCUAUAUUUACCCUACCACUCUGUAUUGCGGCAUGUUCAUAUAUAUUUUGGAAUUCAUCCCUAUGUUGUAGCCUGCAUAUAUAUUGUUUUUUAGGGAAAGUAAGGAUUCUCAAAUGAUGACCUUGUUGCAAGUACCGCUGCUACAGAAACAACAACCUGAAGCUAUCAACAAUGUCGUGGUGGUGCAUCAAGAAGCAACACAAGCAGUCGAACAUAUACUGGCAAUGCAGCCAGGUCCGGUCCUGACUUUUCGGAGGCCUGAGGCGAACUUAAAAAGUGGGCCUAAUAUAGUGAAAAUAUAAAUUACAUCGAUACAAAGCACAAUCGGUGCAAAAAAAAGAUACAAAGCACAAUGUUUUUAUGCCCUAAAACCAUCUUUUUUUCAUUACUAAAUAAAAUAUAUCAGAUCUAACUUAUCCGCUAGCAUUUUCUUUCUUCUUUCUCAAAAUCAUGUUUUUAGCCAACAUUUUACAAGAAUGGAAUGGAAAUACCUGAAUUUGUCGGUGGAAAAAUAGAAGAAAUCCAGCUAUCCAAUCGCAAGCAUAUCGGAUCUUCCUAGGGUCCUCGUAUCCUCAAAUGAGCAACUUGUACAGAAAUAGAAGAUCAGUCAGGGAAUCGCUACAAAACAAAAAAAAAAC
rnacentral:lncRNA from 1 species